UGGCUCAUCUGGACCAGCUGAAUGCAUUGAUGGGAGAUCGAAGUUGGUUUGGUCCCGGAAGUAGAGUAAUUAUUACAACAAGAUAUUCAAGUUUACUUCGUGAAGCAGAUCAAACAUAUCAGAUCAAAGAAUUGGAACCAGAUGAGUCCCUUCAGCUUUUCAGCAGGCAUGCCUUUAAGGACUCCAAGCCAGCAAAAGAUUAUAUUAAGCUUUCGAAGGAUGCAGUUGAUUACUGUGGAGGACUUCCUUUAGCUCUUGAGGUUAUAGGAGCUCUUCUGUACAGGAAAAACAGAGGUGAAUGGGAAAGUGAAAUUGACAACUUGAGCAGAAUUCCAAACCAAGAUAUUCAAGGAAAACUUCUAAUAAGUUAUCACGCACUUGAUGGUGAACUACAAAGAGCAUUCCUUGAUAUUGCAUGCUUCUUUAUUGGUAUAGAGAAAGAAUACGUCGCAAAAGUGCUAGGAGCCCGUUGCCGUCUCAAUCCAGAAGUUGUUUUGAAAACUCUCCGUGAAAGGUCUCUGAUUCAAUUUCAUUGGUGUAACAUUAAAGAUGAAAGGCAGUUAUUUGGAGAGAUGGUAGCCAUGCAUGAUCUAUUACGAGACAUGGGAAGGGAGGUCGUUUGUAAUGCGUCUCCCUUGCAUCUUGGAAAAAGGACCAGAAUUUGGAAUAAAGACGAUGCAUGGAAUGUACUUGACCACCAGAAGGUAAGAGCUCAAUGCAUACACGAAAGCAUAGUCAUGCGUAUUUUCUAGUCACACUUAUUACAAAUAAUUGUAUGAAAGUUGUAUUGUUUUUCUUUUAGGGUACGGAUGUUGUAGAGGGUCUUGCACUGGAUGUCAGAGCAUCAGAAGCUAAAUCACUUGGCGGAGGAUCAUUUGCAGAAAUGAAAUUCUUAAAUUUACUCCAAAUCAAUGGAGUACAUCUCACCGGAUCCUUCAAACUGCUUUCUAAAGAGUUGAUGUGGAUUUGUUGGCAUGAAUGUCCUUUGAAAUAUUUUCCAUCUAAUUUUACUUUAGACAAUCUAGUUGUUCUUGAUAUGCAGCACAGUAACCUCAAAGAAUUAUGGAAGGAAAAAAAGGUACGAAACAUGCUACAAUCCCCAAAAUUUCUCCAAUAUGUAAUUUAUAUUUACAUGUAAUGACUUUCUAUGAUUAAUUUUCAUUAUUUUGCUCUCUAUCAUGAUAGAUGCUCGACAAACUAAAAAUCCUUGAUCUCAGUCAUUCUCAGCACCUUAUUAAAACACCAAACUUGCACAGUUCAAGUCUAGAGAAACUAAUUCUGGAAGGUUGCUCGAGUUUAGUUGAGGUGCAUCAAUCAAUUGAAAAUUUGACGAGCCUCGUUUUCUUGAAUCUGGAGGGAUGUUGGAGGCUGAAGAUUCUCCCUGAAAGCUUUGCCAAUGUAAAGUCUCUUAAAUGUUUGAAUAUUUCUGGGUGUUUACAACUUGAGAAAUUACCAGAACGCAUGGGUGAUAUGGAAUCCUUAACCAAGCUUCUAGCUUAUGGGAUUGAAAAUGAGCAAUUUCUCUCUUCAAUUGGACAAUUAAAGUAUGUUGGAACUUUAUCAUUGCGUGGAUGCAGUUCGGCUCCACCAAGUUCUUCUUUGAUUUCAACAGGUGUUUUGAAUUGGAAACGUUGGCUGCCAGCAUCUUUCAUUGAAUGGAUAUCAGUAAAACAUCUUAAGCUUUCUAAUUGUGGUUUGUCUGAUCGCGCAACUAACUGUGUUGAUUUCAGUGGUUUGUCUGCUCUAGAGUAUUUGAAUCUAGAUGGAAACAAAUUCUCUAGUCUUCCUACUGGGCUCGGCUUCCUUCCCUAUCUAUUAACGUUGAUUGUCGAUGCAUGCAAAUAUCUUGUAUCAAUCCCAGAUCUUCCCUCACGUUUAUGCAUUUUGCAUGCAAAUCAUUGCAAAUCAUUGAAAAGAGUAAGAAUACCAAUCGAGCGAGAAGAAGAACUAUGUAUACAACUAGGGGGAAGUCAUUCGUUAGAAGAGAUACAGGGCAUCGAAAGUCUAAGUAAUAGUUUCUGGUAUGUUUGUGUUGGUGAGCACAGUCAUUCACCAAAUAAAUUUCAGAAGAGCGUUGUUGAGGUACUAUUUCUUUCAAUCUCUUUUGCACAAGAAGAAACACACAAUUGGCACAUAUAUUGAUUAAUAUCUAAAAUCUCAGCAUUACUUGAAAUCAAUAUGUAUACAGGCAAUAAUCAUUAUUAUUAUUAUUUUAUUUUAAAAAAAUAAAUAUCAUCUUUAAUAACAUUUUUUAUUUUUCUUAUUUAAUCUAAAAAAAUAAAUAUCAUCUUUAAUAAUAUUUUUUAUUAAAUUUAAAGUCUGAUUGGUUUUAUUUUUUAUUUCUUGAUUUUAUGAUAAUAUAUUUAUACAGGCAAUGUGCAACGGUCGUGACCCGUAUUGUAUUGCCAACAUUCCUGGUAAGAUGCCAAAUUGGAUGAGCUACAGGGGAGAAGGAUGCUCAUUGUCAUUCCAUAUACCUCCAGUCUUCCAAGGCUUAGUUCUUUGGUUUCAUAAGGAUUCUCAUUGUCACUUCCACAUUGACAUUAUUAUUAUUAUAAGAAAUAAAAGCAACGGUAUUCAAUUGUUUGAAGAAAAACAAUUACCAAUAGACACGGUACGUGGAAGGGUGGGAUGGACAAGAUACAUAAGUAGAAGUGAAAUGGCAAUGGAAGAUUACUGUGGAGAUGACGAAUUGGAACUAUACGUAUAUUCAAAGCCAUCAAUACUUGCGGUGUACAGAGGUUGGCAAUUAAAACCCGGACACAUUAAAGAAUAUGGGGUCCAUGUGAUCGCAGGGAAGUCAGAUUCAUUUGAAGAGUCGGCAGUGGGAAGAGAUGCAGUGAUGCCUUCACCACCGCUGUAUCAUCUGCUUCCUCAUCCCCAUUGUGGUUCGAUUACAGCGUCUACACCUAAGCAAUGGAGUGACUAUUUAUCUGCGAAGCUAGAAGGACAUAGCCUCGAUUUAAGACUUGAUGGUGAGAACAAAUAUUUCAUUUAGUUAUUUUUAUUCUAUUAUAUUUAAUUUAUGAGAUUAAAUAUUAUCUUUAAUGAUUUUAUUAUUAUUAUUUAAUCUAAAAAAUUAAAUAUCAUCUUUAAUAAAAAAAUAUUAAAUAUUUAAGGCUUUUUGGUAAGAAUACAUAUUUCCUUUAGUUAUUUCUAUUUUAUUCUAUUUAAUUUAAGAGAUUAAAUAUCAUCUUUAAUUCUUACAUUUUUCUUAUUUAAUCUAAAAAAUUAAAUAUUAUCUUUAACAAUAUUUUUUAUUAAAUAUUUAGAGUUUGCUUGGUUUUAUUUCUUUUCUUGAUUUUAUAAUAAUAUUUUUCUUAUUUAAUAUAAAAAAUAAAUAUUAUCUUUAACAAUUAGAUCUAUCGAAUAUCACUUAAAAAUAAAUUAUAACUUUAAUAAUUAUUUUUUGAAAAACAAAAGGCCAACAAUCACUAACAUAUUUUAUUAAAAUCACUUUAGUUUAUAUAGAAAAUAUUGAAAACUGAUUUUUGUUUUUUUACAUUAAAAUAAAAAAUUGAAUAAUGUUUUUAUAUUUUAUUUCAAACUCGAUAUUUUAAAACAAAAAUGAAAAAGAUGUGAUAUUAACAUUUUUUAUUAUAAAGUAAGUUUUUUAAUUAAAAGUGAUGGGAAUUUGUUUUUAUUGCAUGUACAAUCAUGCACAUUUAACUUUCUUUUUAAAUUUGAUGGUUUUUUAGGACGGAAAUGGCUUGAAGGUGGUGAAGGCUUUGAUUGACAUGAGAGUACAAGAUUAGUUUACAUAGAGAUGCUUGAAGUUGCUCCAAAUCAGUACGAUACUUUCAUCUGACAUGUUGAUAUGUAUUUGUUGGCUUGAAGAUUAUUUUCCAAGCUUGGAAGUUUUAUUGAAUUCUCUUUGAAAUCUUUUCCAUCCGCUGGACAACUUAUAUUAUUAUGCAUGAUGUAAUUUAUAUUUUCAAGUUACAAAUUUUGAUGAAUAUUGUUUCAUUUUUUUCCUCAUUUCAAAAGAUGAAAAUCCUUGAUCUUAGUUAGAAAUAAAUUGGUUUUCUAGGAAGAGAUUAUUGAUUGGAAUAUAGUAUUUGAAUUGGUUCUUCAUCAUUUACUGUUAUAUAUAAUUUAAAAUAAUUGAUGAAAAUACAUAGAAAAGUUUUGAGAGCAUCCUUAAUUAGUCUAGUAAGUAAAGUGUUGUUAGUUUUGACUAUAAGAUCUUGCUAUGUAUUAUUGCAUGGUUUUUACUAUUUUUUUGCAUUUCUUCUUUUUGUAUAUACAACUUUUGUUUUUCUUGCCGCUUGUCAUUAGCUUUAUGGCACCAACACCAAUUAAUAAUAAAUCUUGAACUAUUAUUAAAUAAAGAAAAAAUAUAAAUAUCGUUAAAAUACCAAACUUGAAUUGCUCAAUCCUAAAGAAACCCUAUGACAAUAAUCUAAUUUAGAAAAUAAUUAAUUUAUCCUUGUAGUCUAAGAAAAUAGUAUUUAAUUCUUAUGUUUUCAUAUACAUCUAUGAUUUAAUAUGUUGAUUGAAAUUGGCAAGUGAGUUUACUCACGUAUUGUUAUAUUGGUUUUGAGUUCAAAUAAAUGUUUAAAAAGGGAGUUUUUUCAUGAAUGUAACCCUUCAAUAUAUGAAUGUUUAAAAUUGUAUUCAAUAUGAAUGAUGGAUGAUUUUGCUAAGAAUUGGUUGGUAAAAAACUUAAUUUCGAUAUAUAAAAACUUAAGAGACAACAAUAAAUAGAGAGACUAGUAAAGAUUUUAUGUGCUUUCUUGUUUUUUUUUUUUAAUUGGAUUACCUUUGUCUUUUGUUUCAAGUAAAAUUCUAGUAUAUAUCACUAAAUUAAGAAUUAAAGGUCUAAUUAUAUGAAACACAAUUUUAAAGACUACAUCAACUACAUUUCAUAUGCUCAACUCUAAGCAAAUUGAAAUUUCAAGGCCAUUUGUAUCUUGAAAACACAAUCUCAAUAAUCUUAAUAUUGAAUUAUUAUUUGUUGAGUUGGAAAAUAGCACUAAGGAACACAAAAGCCGUACUGUUUAUCUUCUUGGCAUUGUUCAAAGGAACGCAAAAAGAUACUCCAAUUGUGAAAGAUUAUUAUUGUCAUAAAGUAAAACUUUCAAUAUAGAGAGUGAAAUAAAGAGCAAGAGCAAAAAAAUAAUUCGUGUGUGUAUUAGCUAAAUGAAAUGAAGAUUAGAGUAAAAAGGAUAAAAAAAAAAAAAAAAAAUAGAGAGAGAGACUCGUUAAGAUUUUAUGUUGGUGCUCAACAUGUUCUUUCUUAUUUUUUUUUUUUUUUUAAUUUUAUCUUAACGAGUGAAAUAAAGAAACACUCCCCCCAUCUUUCUUGUUCCCUUUCCCUUCUUUACAUGGCUUACUCAGUGAAAAAGCAAUUAAACACCCCAUUUGAUUUUCAAUCAGUAUGAGAGUGAGAGAGAGAGAGGCCAAGGUGGUCCUUGAAUAUUUUCUUCUUUUUUGUCUCGCUCACUGGGGCAAACCAUUUUUUCCAAAAUUUUGAAUAGCAUGCGAUCAAAAAGAAUUUUGAAUAGCAUGCCAUCAAAAGGAAUUUUGUUCAAUCCCAAUCCCACAUUGUCUGUAGAAGUAUUUACUUUUGACUGUACACUUUGUUAUUUUCCAAUCCCUCCCCAGUUCUGCAACCAUUUCUCUACUUUCUAUGCUCUUGGCUUGCUAAAAACUAAAGAAAACACAUUGCUCUACUUGCCUGCCUUCACUCUUCAGAUUGCUCAACAAAUCCCUUGAGACCUUCUCCAUAGUUAACACAUCACAUAAUGGCUACUCUAAAAAAUUUAGCCAUAAACAUUGAACACCUUGAGCAAUCAACGUGCCUUCCUUCACAAUAUCCAUCACCCAUAAAUCUUUCUUUUGGGAUGUCGCCGGGAGUUUAAUUUCCGUGUAAAAAUUAUGUAUAAAUUUCCAUUCUUUCCUUCCAUCCAUUACUUGUCCUCUAUGAAGAUUCUAUGUAUGAAAUCUCGGAAUCUUUUCGAGUAUAACUUGGGAUCAACAGCUGAGAUAGACGUGGGAUCCACUUCUAAGGACUUGUAUGCAUGCUCUAGCUUUUUGCUGAUAUCAUAAUCCUAGAGAUACCAAAGUGAAGAACUACAUCUCACAAUCACCAAAAUUCAAAGUAAAGUAACGGAGAAGAAAAUCUGAUAACAAUGAAUGAUCACUCAUUAACCACAGCGAAUCUUACGCUUUGAAAACACUUUUCACCAUCAAUUUUCCUUUUCUCAUUGAUUUUAAAUCUUCCAGGCAGAUAAAAUAGCAUUGGUUUUAUUCAUCAGCUUAGGCAUCAACAACAUGUUGCAUCCACAAUCUUACUACUACAUUAUAAUUAUAAACAAAGCUAAAAAAAUAUAUAUAUGAGGACAGAGUUAACAGACAUGCACUAAGAGUUAACAGACAUGCACUAACACACACUGUGCAAAUCAGUGUACAGCUGUUAUAACAAACAAGUGUACAAUCUGUUUUCUCCAACCUUCCAGCAUUAUUCUCCCGAGCAUAUUCUGUCAGCUCAAGAUUAGGCAAUUCUGUUAACCAUUCUGUUAGCUCUGUUCUCUUUUGUUGUAUAUAUACUUGAUUGAUUGAUUGAUUCAAUAACAUUAUCUUUCUCUCUUCUCACCUGCCCCCUUUUUCUUCUCCUUUUACCUCUAGCUUCCAAUGCCUAUCAACACCACCAUCCUUAACACAAAUGAAUCUCACAGCAUGUUGAUUACCAUCAAUGUAGCAGCCCAAACUCCAUUAAAACUUAUCUCCACCAGGCACCAACUAUCUAGCCUGGAAACUUUGUUGGGGAUUCCGGCUCCCCCAUGCGCGGACCGGGGGUGUACUGAUAGUUGCUCAACGGAGGGUAAAGCACACUGAUACAAUAUUUUACGUGGUUCGGCAAAACCGCCUACAUCCACGGGAGAGUCCAUAUUAUUAGAGAUAUAUAGAGAAAGGAUUACAACAUACAUGGAGGAGGAGGAUCACUUCACUCAAACUCAAUUCCCAGCUCUUUUGCUACACUUACAGCUGCUGCAAUGGCAGCAGCCAUUGCAGCUCUCUCUUUCUCUCCACUCUCUUGCACACACUCACGUUCUCUCUCUCUCAUUUUUCUCUCAAAUAUAAGCCUCCUUUAUAGGCAUUUCAUGGUCAACAUGGAGGGGCCAAUAGCCUUAAAGCAUGGCAUGAAUUGUGGCACAAUUCAUGCUUCCACUUGCUUAGUGGUGGGGUAUUGCCACAAAUGGCAAUAUCCUAACAAUCACCCCCUUUGCCAUUUGUGUGGGCAAUUGUCCUCUUGCUUCUUCAGCACAGGCUUGCAUCUUGCAGCUCUUCCAAGCUUACCAUUCUGAGAGCGUCUUCAACACAACAUUCCCUUUCGAGUGUAUCAAUCAUGCUCGGUCCGGAAUGAUUUUUCAAGCCUUACACCAAGGCUUACAACACCCCCUCAAAUAGAUAUUUCUAAGUGCGACAGUCAUUUAGUAUUUCAAUGUGAUCACAAGCUCACCACUCUUCCAAGAGUCUACUCAUCCAAGAGUUGUGCCUGCCCUCUGUUCCACCCUAGGAACCACGUCUUACUUCUCCGUGAGUCUCUCGCUCUUAGUCGUAAGAGUCCAGGUAGCUCUCCACCUUUAACCAUAGGGGCAGCCCAUUAAAGGUUGAUUCAUAUCUGUCUUCAUACUCUGAGUAUUACAAUGCCAUUACCGAGCUCACCACCUUAACAAGAGUCAACUCGUUCUCGGAACCUGCGCAUGCCCUUCUGCUUCUUCAUAGCAGCCGCGUCUUAAUGCUCCACAAGUCACACACUUAUUGUCCAAGGCAAAUGUCUUCUAGCUCAUUGAUCUUUAGCAUGGGGGCAAUAUCCAUGAAAGUCAAUCCUGCAUUUGUCUCCAUACUCAUCAUAGCCACUUCAUUGGCUAUCUAUACACUUGUCCACUUGUAUCUAGCCAUCACAUCGGCUUUGGAGCGUUCUGAACUGGGCUCAUAUCAUGGCCCUCACACCUUCUCCUCAGGUGUCUCCGCUCGUCAUCAUGCGACGGUCUGAACUGGGGCUCCUCUCAUAGCCCUCACACCUUCUCUACGGUGUCUUCGCCCGUUGUCAUGGGGCGGUCGCAUCCUUCUUCAGCUGGGAUGCUUCAAAGUGGCUCCAAAAUUCUCUACCACCAUGUGCACUAUGGGAGAGAUUAUAACCACUGAUUACAUAGAAAGAGAAACUUGCGGUAUACUCCUCGCAAUCCUCCACCUCGAUUUCUAUGUUUGGAGCUUUUGUGUCUUUCUACUUGAUAGCUCCACCUACACCAACUCUCUUUGGUGUCUUCGCCUUUCAUCAUAGGCGGUCGCCUUUUAUCACAGGCGUUUGCACCCCCUCAAUUAGGUGCUUCUACAACAGCUCUCUUUCCAUCCUUGCAUGCAUUGGAAAGGUCUUCGCCUGUUGUCUUCAUCAAGAGCAUAAGAGACUUCCUGUUGUACAAACUUUAACAGUCUCUGCUCUGAGCUUCAUCUGGGAACACUUCUUCUCCUUGCACCUAUUGUCUCAUUACAGUACCUCGUUGGAUCCUACGGGUACUCCUGCACAAUCUCCGUGUGCCCUCGUGCAAUUUCUGUUCUCCAGAUUUCUCCCUAUUUCUUGCUUAUGUUUGACAGCAGCUCAUCCUGUCACAACACCUGUCCAAGUCAAAAAUAUGGUGCCAAUCUUUAUCCCCUUGCUGUAUUCCUCUUCCAUUAUCAGGGUCUUCAUCAGUUCUCCCCUCGAGAAAUCACAGUCACCGAAUCUAACUUCUUUGGAGAAAUCACCACUCCAUCAGAUCCUUGAACCUUUGGAACCCAACUAUUCCCUUGUGCCGUCAUCCUGCUAGCCUUCAACUGUUUCAUUACAAACUGCUAUAUAUACAAAAAUAGUACCGUAUGGAUAAUCCUUCCACUAAGCAAGUUCCCAGGAAAGAUUGGAGGGGUCACACUGGUCCCGCUUAAAACCCAAUCUCCUAGACAGAACUUCUUAGGACAUAUCUAUCCAUCGUACUGUCUUUUUGUAUAUACAACCAUUUGCUAGCUUUGUUGCGGCUUUCCUUUACAAGUGAUCUGGGGUAUCCCGAUUUUAUACCUGAUUUCUCAACAUCUGGCGAGACUACCAGUUCUUAGAUUCGUCAAGAUUGGUCUUUAUCAAUUUUCACUCUACACCUCUAAUUGUCCACUUGAUCGGGUGUCUAGAGUGUCCCAAUUUUGCCUUCCCUCAAGGCAGUUAAAUUUCUCCCAACUUAGCAGCUCAGCACAUGUAAUUGGGUAAACAUGUGCACCUUCUUCUUCUUCUCUUCAACGACCACCAUGAUAACCUUCAGAUGCCUCCUGAUCGGGCAAUCUCUUUUGUUAAUUCAUCACUACCACUUUCGGUCUCAAAUCUCAACGAUCGGACCAUACCAUUGCAUCCGAAACGAUCAAAUUAGCUGGAAACAAGUCUGAAAUCGUCCAAAUCGCACUUCAGACGGCUAAGAUUUGAUCAAAACAAUUCUGGCCUGAUCAAUGGCUCAGAUUCAAUCUCAGAUCCGGUUGCACGUAGGAUCAGCUACACUGGAUCCUGUCCCUCGGCUCGCGGCUCGGCUCCAAUUAGGCUCGGCUCGGCUUGGCUCGGCUCGUGGCUAAUGACGUGGUUGGUGGGUCCCACUUUGCUGACGUGUCAGUGACUGUACGCUGACAUGGCAUGCCAACUGUGCAUGCUGACAUCACACUUACAUCAGGCUGAUGUCAUCCCUGGCAUGCCUACUAUGCAUGUUGACAUCACAAUUAUGUCAUACUGACGUCAUUCAUAUCCGGGUCAGCCAUGUGGGUCGGGUCAACUGGUAUUUGGGUCGGGUCAGCCCAUCCGGGCGAAGAAGACGCGUGGGGUGCGUCUGCGCGCGUGGGCAGACGCCUUGCCGGAGAGUGAUGGAGAGUACGGCCAUGUCCGACGUCCGAUUUUGACGCCGUUUUCACCAGUGGCUUCGUCUCGGCCUCCUCUACACGGUGGUAUAGUCAAAACACCAUUUUGAGAACUUUCAUUUUUGAGCAAAAAUCAAACACCCCUUUAAACCAUGUGCUCUGAUACCAGUUGUUGGGGAUUCCGGCUCCCCCAUGCGCGGACCGGGGGUGUACUGAUAGUUGCUCAACGGAGGGUAAAGCACACUGAUACAAUAUUUUACGUGGUUCGGCAAAACCGCCUACAUCCACGGGAGAGUCCAUAUUAUUAGAGAUAUAUAGAGAAAGGAUUACAACAUACAUGGAGGAGGAGGAUCACUUCACUCAAACUCAAUUCCCAGCUCUUUUGCUACACUUACAGCUGCUGCAAUGGCAGCAGCCAUUGCAGCUCUCUCUUUCUCUCCACUCUCUUGCACACACUCACGUUCUCUCUCUCUCAUUUUUCUCUCAAAUAUAAGCCUCCUUUAUAGGCAUUUCAUGGUCAACAUGGAGGGGCCAAUAGCCUUAAAGCAUGGCAUGAAUUGUGGCACAAUUCAUGCUUCCACUUGCUUAGUGGUGGGGUAUUGCCACAAAUGACAAUAUCCUAACAAACUUCAAUUCCAGACUCUAUUCAUAGGACAUUUGAUUGAGGUCUCCACAAACAUUGAAACACCGCAAUUUUUCAUGAUAAAAUCCAAAGGAUUGGUACUUUGGUGUUUGAGGGGCUGGUAAAUGAAAGAACAGAUCAAGAGAUGACAUCCCUCUAUACCGCUGUUAUUCCUUUCAAGGUGCGUAUCAGGUGUUUGAAAAACUUCCUCAACUUAAAAAUAAAAAGGUCCUGUUUACAAUGUUUUUUAGUCCUUUACAAAUCUUCCAAUGUGUUGCGUUUACUGAAUAUGAUAGUGGGAACUUAUUUAUCAAGAAUUAACUACUCAGAAGAAAAUGUAAAGACGCAAUAAUGAUUUUUUUAUUUUAGAUUCCAUAGUCUACAAACUUGGAAGCAUACGGACCAGUCAGAAGACAACAUGUUUAUUGUAUAUGAUAAACAAUAAUAAACAUCUCAUUCUUAAAAUGAUGGUAAAUCAGAAACAACCAUCCAAUACUUGAAGAUCUGUUGAAGAUAUUUGGCCUUUGGAAAUUUUGAAGAGAACUGGAGCAGUUGCAUAUGGAUUAGCUCUUCCAUCCAAUCUUUUCAUCUAACCAUCCAGUUUUCUAUGUAUCCAUGCUUUAAAAGUAUCUUCGUGCUCCAUCACAUGUAUUGGAGCCAUAAACAGUAGCAUUUCAAGGAGAUAUGUCAUGUGAAAUCCGUUCUAAUGAGAUUGCUUCAGUGAAAGUAAUGUGAGAAGGUCAUCCAAGUGAUGAAGCAACACGAGAACCUGAGAAGAUGAUACGUAAUAAAUAUCGUUAUUUCUUCAUUCAAUCAAGCUAACAAGUUUUCUACUUAAAUUCGAGGAUGAAUUUAUUUUAACAGGGGAGGUGGAAAUGUAAACCCACCCCAUAAUAUAUAACUCAUUAUUGUUUUAUAUGUUGGCCCGUUAAUUCAAGUCAUUUUCUUCUAUCUCUCUUAUAGGAAUGUUCCUCCUUCUCCCUUUUACUGCAAAUAUUCCCCCACGAUCCCAAACCAUCAAUUGACCCUAUAACUCUCUUGUUUUGAGUAGGUUUACUUCAACUUUAUCAAGUGUUUAUAAUAUUGUUUUAUGUUUAUUUAUUUAUAUAAAAUUGUUGAAUUCUAGGCGUUAUAUGAUAUUAGUUGAUGUUAUAUGGAAUUAUUUAAAUUAAUUUGUGUGUGGGUAGUAAUAAGUGUAUAUGAAUAUGAAUUGGAGUAAGGUCAUAGAUGGGUUGGUGUGAAGCUUUGAUUAAUUGAUAUAUUUUGAUGUAAUGAGUAAAUACCUUAAGAAAUUUGAAUAUUUGAAAGAUAAUAGGUAAAUAUUGAAGAAUUGUAUAGAAAGAAUCAUAUUGAAAUUAUGAAAAAUAUGUUUUGGGGUUGAUGAUGGAAGAAUUACAGUUUGGUCCUUGCUUUUGAGAAAUUAAGAUUUUGUCCCUAAAUUCUAAAACAAUUAUAGUUUAGUCACUGGUUGUAAAUAACAAUUUUUAAGAUAUUUUCCUGAUAAAUAUCUGAGAAAUAAUGAUCAUCUAUUAUCAAUUUUUAUUGUUAUCAUUUAAAUUUAAAAUUAAUUGUAUUAUCUACGAGCACAAGUGGUACAGUUAUCAAUCGAAUUUUAGCAAAAUCAAGGAUCCAAGAAUUGGCCUCUGUAACAUAUUAGGAAACUGGCAUGCAAACCCGACAAGAUAAAAGGCAAGGGACAAGAUAAAAUGAGAAAUAAGACACAAGAAUUUACGUGGUUCACCCAAUUUGGCUACGUCCACGGGCAAGUAUAGAAGGAUUUUACUAAGUAAUGUGGGAAUUACAACCUCUCUCUACUAAUAGGAGAACAACUGAAAUCUCUCUAUUAAUAGGAGAAAACACCUCACUUACUCUCUCACAAAUACCUCACAAUUUUGUGGGAUUACUUUCCCUCUCUCACUCUUCUCUUCCUCUCUUAUGAUGUGCAAAAUAAGCUUGGAUGCACUGCCUAUUUAUAGGCAAGCAUCCAAGCAAAGGACAAAAAGGCACCAAUUGGUGCUGCAAGUGGCACCGAAUUGGUGCCCAACAUUGUUGAAUUUGCAGCACAAAUUUGGUGCCUAACAUUGUUGACUUUGCCAACAAUGCAGCUGGCUUCACAUUCUCCCACUUGAAGACUUUGAUGAGUGAAUCAAGUCUUCACACUUAAUCAUCUGUGAUUCUUCUAUCCUUUCUAUACUUGUCAUCUUCAUGCUGCUUACAUUUCUGUUAGGCCAUAAGAGGAUCUGCACCAUAUGUACUUGUCAGUGUUGACUGGUUUGGUUAAAGCAUCUGCUGGGUUUUCCUUCGUGUGAACCUUUUGAAAAUCUACACUUCCAUCUUCCACUACUUCGCGAACAAAGUGAUACUAAACAUCUAUGUGUUUUGUUCUUGAAUGAAACGCGGGAUUCCUUGCAAUAUGCAAAGCACUCUGACUAUCACAAUACAAAAGAAUGUUCUCUUGUUUGUGCCCGAGCUCCUCCAUAAGUUUCUUCAUCCAUAUUGCUUCUUUACAAGCUUGUGUAGCUGCCAUGUACUCAGCUUCUGUUGUGGAUAAAGCUACAACAGUCUGAAGUUUAGAGACCCAGCUCACAGCUCCUCCUGCAAUUAUGAACACAUAGCCUGUAGUGGAUUUUCUUUUCUCAAGGUCGCCAGCAAAAUCUGAAUCAACAUAACCUCUGACGGUAAAUUCUGAUCCUCCAUAUCAUAAUGCAACAUCUGAGGUGCCCUUGAUGUAUCUCAAGAUCCUCUUAAUAGUAUUCCAAUGCUCUCUACCAGGAUUUGCCAUGUAUCGACUAGCUACUCCCACUGCUUGUGCAAUGUCUGGUCUUGUACAUAUCAUGGCAAACAUUAAGCUUCCCACUGCUGAUGCAUACGGUACUCGAGACAUCUCCAUCCUCUCUGCUUCAUUGCUAGGAGACAUACUUGAGGAUAAUUUGAAGUUAAUAGGAAGUGGGGUGGAAAUUGGCUUACAAUCUUGCAUGUUGAAGUGUCGUAAGAUCUUAUUCAAAUAAUUCUUCUGAGAAAGCCAAAUCUUCCUCUUACUUCUGUCUCGGUGAAUUUGCAUCCCUAGAAUCUUGUUUGCUGGUCCCAAGUCCUUCAUAUCAAACUCCCUAGCCAACUGUGCCUUCAAUUCUUGGACUCGAUCUUUGUUGGAGCCUAUUACCAACAUGUCAUCCACGUACAACAACAAAAUGAUGAAAACAUCAUUUUCUUCAAACCUCUUGUAAUACGUACAAUGGUCUGAACUGAGUCUGUUGUACCCAAGGCUAAUUAUGAAGGAAUCAAAUCUCUUGUACCAACAUCUCGGCGCCUGUUUGAGACCAUAUAGAGAUUUGUUCAACCUGCAAACCAAGUUCUCCUUGCCUACUUCAGCAAAACCCUCUGGUUGGAGCAUAUAAAUUUCUUCUUCAAGUUCUCCAUGAAGAAAUGCAGUUUUCACAUCUAACUGCUCUAAGUGAAGAUCAAAUAUAGCACACAUCGCCAAGACUACUCUGAUUGUAGUAAGUCAUACCACUGGAGAAAAUAUCUCAUUAAAAUCUAUUCCUUCUUUCUGAGCAUAUCCUUUCACCACCAAUCUUGCACGAUACCGCUCCACUUGAUUAUUGCCAUCAUGCUUUAUCUUGUAAACCCAUUUGUUGCCAAUGGCCUUCCUUCCUUGUGGUAGCGGAACAAGAUCCCAAGUGUUGUUCUUGUGUAGAGCUUCAAUCUCCUCUUGCAUCGCUGUCAUCCACAUAGAUACAUCUGUGCUUUUGAUAGCCUCAUGGAAAGUUGAUGGCUCUCCAUCCUCUGUUAGAAGACAGUAUGCAAUGUUGCUCUCAGUAACAUAUUCUGAGUGCCAAGCCGAUGGUCUUCUUUCACGAGUUGACCGUCGAACUUCAGGAGUUUCAGAUUCUAUUUGUUCUUGUUCUUCAUGCUCUGGUACAGCUUCAGAAGAAGUAUGAUUCUGAGUAUUUUCCAUCUGGACUGCUGUAGUCUCCUUUGGAAUGCUAUUAUGUUCUUCCAUUUGUAUUUUACCUUCUGCAAAUAUAACAUCUCUGCUGAUGACUAGCUUGUGGGAUUGGGCAGUGGGAUCCCACAAGCGAUACCCCUUCACUCCAUCAGCAUAUCCCAAGAAUACACAUUUUCUGGAUUUUGAAUCCAGCUUGUUGACUUCUUGAGUAUUGUACAUCACGUACACAGGACUUCCAAAUAUAUGUAAUUGAGAAUAAUCAGCUGACUUUCCAGUCCACAUCUCCAUCGGUGUCUUCAGCUCAAUUGCAGUUGAUGGAGAUCGAUUUAUCACAUAACAGGCGGUAUUGACUGCUUCUGCCUAGAAUGACUUUCCUAGACCUGCAGCCUUCAACAUUGCUCUCGUUCUUUCUAAUAGAGUUCUGUUCAUCCGCUCUGCCACUCCAUUUUGCUGUGGAGUGUAUGCCGUUGUGAACUGCCUUUUGAUACCUUCAUGUUGACAGAAGUUAUCAAAUUCAUCACUGGUAUAUUCUCCUCCAUUGUCAGUCCUCAAACACUUGAUCUUCUUUUCAGAUUCAAGUUCCACCCGCGCUUUGAAAGUUUUAAAGAUUGCGAACACAUCUGCCUUCCUUCUAAUUGGAUGCACCCAACAUCUCCUGGAGAAGUCAUCUAUGAAUGAUACAAAGUAUCUUGCUCCUCCCAAGGAUACAACCGGUGCUUGCCAAACAUCAGAGUGAAUCAAGUCUAAGAUGCAUUUGCUCUUAGUUGUUGAUGUGCCAAACUUCAACCUGUGUUGUUUACUUGUAACACAGUGCUCCCAAAAAGGUAAAGUAACCUUUGUAAGCCCAGGGAGUAACUUCUGAUCAAAGAGAACUUUCAAACCUUUCUCUGACAUGUGGCCUAGUUUUUGAUGCCACAUCAUCGUCUUCUUUUCUGCAGGACUGGCUGAUGCGAUUGACGCUUCUGCCCUAUGAUGUGUUUCUCCCAUUAAUACAAACAUGUUUGCAACUAUUUUUCUCGCCUUUAAAACUACCAACGCUCCUUUGACAAUUUUCAUUAUUCCAUUGUCUGUUCGGAUCUUAUAGCCAAGACUAUCAAAUUGUCCCACAGACAAAAGAUUUUUCUUUAAGUCUUUCACAUGACGCACUCCUGUAAUAGUACGAAUUAAGCCAUCAUACAUCUUCAAUUUGAUGGUGCCAAUGCCAGCAAUCUCUAAAGCAUGAUUAUCACCCAUGAACACUUUGCCUCCAGAGAUGGGUUCAUAUGUAUGGAACCAAUCUCGAUUAGGAGUCAUAUGCCAUGUUGCUCCUGAAUCCAUUAGCCAGACCUCAGUAAGCUCUUCUCUAUCUGUAGAGAUUGUCGCUGCUUCACUAUAUAAAACCUCCCCAUCUUCUGAGGUGCUCGCAACACAUCCUUGAGGUUUUGAUGACUCUGCAGUAUUCUCUAUACCCCUUUUAAACCAACAAUCCUUUUUGAAGUGCCCUUUUCUGCCACAGUUGUAGCAUUUCACAAUCUUCUUACUUCUUGAUUUGGACCUCCCUUGCCUUUGACUCCCACUGGAGCCACGCUCCGUUGAUCUCCCUCUUGACAUCAACAAUGCCUCUGCUUGGUUUGAACUAUUUCUGUCUCCUUUAUUUUUGCGCCUAUUUUCUUCUUCCAAGAUAGCGGCUGCAACAUCAUCAAAGACUAAAUAGUCUGUGAGGAUAUUAUUGGUCAAGUUGAUAAUGAGCUGAUCAUACGAAUCUGGGAGACUUCGAAGUAGAAGUUCUGCACGUUCACUUUCCUCUAUUUGUUGACCCAACGUAGUGAGUUGUGAAAAUAGAGUUCUUAUUGUGUUGAUGUGGUCAGUCACUGCCGUGGUUUCUGCCAUUCGAAGGGUAUAAAGUCUCCGCUUUAAGAAAAUCUUAUUGUGCAAAGACUUGGACUCAUAUAGCUUUGUUAGAGUCUCUCAUAUCUCCUUAGCUGUUUUCUUCUCCGCUACACUUGAUAAUACUUCAUCGGCUAAUGCUAAAUGUAUGUUAGCAAUAGCAUUGCCAUCCAUCUCAUUCCAUUUUGCAUUAUCAGUGAUCUCCGCGGGCCGAUCCCCAAUUGCUGCCAAGCAAUUGUCUUUCCUUAAGAUUGCUUUGAUUCUCAUUUUCCAGAGUGAGAAAUUGCUCCCAUUGAACCUCUCAAUCUCAUACUUUGCUGCCAUUUUAUUCACCGUGAUCUAUUCAGCUAUCACUGUUUCACAGAUCUGUAACGUAUAUAGAAAUAGUAUCGUGUGAAUAAUACUUCACUAAGUAAGUUCCCAGGAAAGAUUGGAGGGGUCACAAAUGGUCCCGCUUAAAACCCAAUCUCCUUAGACAGAACUUCCUAGACUGUAUUUAAUCACCGCACUGACUUUCUAUAUACGCCAACAGUAACGUAUGUGAAUAGUGCCGUAGACGUGAAUAGUAACCGUAUACACGAAUAACUUUUGUGUAUUAACAACACCAACCAAAAGGCUCUGAUACCACUAUUAGGAAACUGGCAUGCAAACCCGACAAGAUAAAAGGCAAGGGACAAGAUAAAAUGAGAAAUGAGACACACAAGAAUUUACGUGGUUCAACCAAUUUGGCUACGUCCACGGGCAAGUAUAGAAGGAUUUUACUAAGUAAUGUGGGAAUUACAACCUCUCUCUACUAAUAGGAGAAAACACCUCACUUACUCUCUCACAAAUACCUCACAAUUUUGUGGGAUUACUUUCCCUCUCUCACUCUUCUCUUCCUCUCUUAUGAUGUGCAAAAUAAGCUUGGAUGCACUGCCUAUUUAUAGGCAAGCAUCCAAGCAAAGGACAAAGGGGCACCAAUUGGUGCUGCAAGUGGCACCGAAUUGGUGCCCAACAUUGUUGAAUUUGCAGCACCAAUUUGGUGCCUAACAUUGUUGACUUUGCCAACAAUGCAGCUGGCUUCACAUAACAUAGUUUGUAUUCUGAGCCAAUCUGGGGUGGGACUUGAAACAAAUGUUGUAUAUUGUUUGCACUGUCACUUUGCUUACCCUCUUAGGUUUUUAUUGAGAUUAGGGAUUCUAUUGUAGCUCUUUUUUCUCCUUUUAUUAUAAUAAAAUAAUAUCUAUGGAUUAAUUUUGGUAUAAUUUAAGAAAGUAAGUCCUUUAAUCAAAUUUUAGAUUGACCAUCCUCUAUGUGUUAAAAGUAAAUGUUAAUUUAUAAAAUAAUAACUAUGUUUAAGUCUUGAUUAACUCAGAAGAUGUCUUCUAAGACGCAUCUCUGUCUUCUCUUCUCUUCUCUUCUUCUCUAUAAAAUUCCUUUUUAGCUCUCUGAUGUACUUAAUGUCCCGGAGGUGUGGCUUCUUCAUAUGAAGAAAAUGUUAAGAUUCAAUUAUGAUUUUAGAUUUUAGAUUCCAUUGUCUACAAAUUUGAACCAUGAUGAUGAAGCAUACGGACCAGUCAGUAGACAACAUGUUUAUUAUAUAUGAUAGAGGUCCUCAAUGUAUUUCACGUUUCUAUGAGAAAUUUCACGAGACUAUGAGUACUCGAAUUGAUCUUAGUACAACAUUUCAUUCUCAAAAUAAUGGUUAAUAAAAAAGAACCAUUCAAAUACUUGAAGAUAUGUUGAUAGCAUGCAUACUUAAGUGGAGUUUGCUGGAACAAAUAUGUACCAUUGGUGGAGUUCGUUAAGAGGGGGGAACUAAUUCCUCGAUAUAUUAGGCCUUUGGAAAUUUUGAAGAGAAUUGGUGCACUUGCUUAUGGAUUAGCUCUUCCACCCAGCUUUUUCAUCUAAACAUCCAGUAUUCCAUGUAUCCAUGCUUUAGAAGUAUAUUUGUGCUCCAUCACAUGUAUUGGAGCCAUAAACCGUAGCAUUUGAAGAAGAUAUGUCAUGUAAAAUUCGACUGGAGAGAAUUGAAGAUAGACAAAUUAGAAAACUUCGUUCUAAAGAUUGCUUUAGUGAAAGUAAUGUGAGAAGGUCAUACCUGAGAAGAUGAUACGUAAUAAAUAUCGUGAUUUCUUCAUUCAAUCAAGCUAGCAAGUUUUCUAAUUAAAUUUCGAGGGUGAAUUUAUUUUAACAGGGGAGGAAAUGUCAACCCCACCCAUAAUAUAUAACCCAUUAUUGUUUUAUUGGUCCAUUUAGGUAGCCCAUUUGUUAUAUACAGAAGGAGAGAGGUAAGGACAUUGUUAGUCAUUUUCUUCUUUCUCUCUUACGGGGAAUGUUCUUCCUUCUCCCUUUUACUGCAAAUAUUCCCCCACAAUCCUAAACCACCAAUUGACCAUAUAACUCCCUUGUUUUGAGUAGGUUUACUUCAACUUUAUCUAAGUGUUUAUAAUAUUGUUUUAGGUUUAUUUCUUUAUAUAAGCUUGUUGAAUUCUAGGCCUUAUAUGAUAUUAGUUGAUGUGAUUUGGAUUUAUUCUUAAGUUAAUUUGUGUGUGGGUAGUAACAAGUGUAUAUGAAUAUGAAUUGAAGUAAGUACCUUAACAAAUGUGAUGGGUUGGUGUGAAGCUUUGAUUAAUUGCUAUAUUUUGAUGUAAUGAGCAAAUACCUUAAGAAAUUUGAAUAUUUGAAAGAUAAUAGGUAAAUAUUGAAGAAUUGUAUAGAAAGAAUCGUAUUGAAAUUAUGGAAAAUAUGAUUUUGUCCCUAAAUUCUAAAAAACAAUUAUAGUUUGGUCACUGGUUGUAAAAACAAUUAUAUUUUCAAACUUUCAAUAUAGAGAGAGAAAUAAAAAUAAAAAGGAAAAGGAAAAGGAAACAACCCCCAGCUUUCUUGUGCCCUUUCCCUUCUUUACAUGGCUUCCUCGAUCGAUGUAAAAAAGCAAACGCCCCAUUUGAUUUUCAAGCAGUAUGAGUGAGAAAGAUAGAGAGGACAAGAGAGGACAAGGGGGUCCUCUCUCUCUUUCCUUGCUUUUUUUAACGCGUGGACCCAGCAGUUGUUGCCACCAAAUUCCUUCCUCAAUAUUUACCAGUGCUACACGCUUGAGAAAUUUCCUUGUUAUUUUUUUUAUUAAUGAAAUAUUACUUUUACCGUAUAGCCAUUGAAUUCUAGAUCAAUUUAUCGGGUAUUGGGCCGGUUUGGAUUUAAUAAUUAUGAUUCACAGACAUACAACUAGUACUUGCAACUAUUAAUAUUUAUUAUUUUCAUUAAGUUUUUCAAACUUUCAAUAUAGAGAGAAAAAUAAAAAUAAAAAGGAAAAGGAAACAACCCCCAUCUUUCUUGUGCCUCUUCCUUUUUUUUUAAGUUUAAUGUUGGUGUUUGGGUCAACUUGCACGCAUCUCGACUAAUUUCAUGGGCUCUGAAGUUAACAACUAUGUAAGUCUCCAAUGACCAUCAUAUAAACAACCACGGGGCUCGAAUUUAAAACUAUAAAAAAAACAAAUCUCUUAAUCACAUGAUCUUAUUAAUGUACCACCAUUUAGGUAGUUGCCCUUUCCCUUCUUUACAUGGCUUACCCGAUGAAAAAAGCAAACACCCCAUUUUGAUUUUCAUUCCGUACGAGUGAGAAAGAAAGACAGGACAAGGUUUGUUGAGGCUUUUUUUUUGGAACCUCGCUCUGGGAUUAAUUAGCGAGAAUAAGAAAAUUCUAUGCAAAUUAUACAAAAUUUAUUAUUAAUCAUCAAUAUUUAUUCUUAUCAUCAAUAUUGAAUAAUGGUUUAUUUUCUAGUAUAAACUAUGAUGGGUUCGUUUAUAAAAAUAAAUAAAUUGAGGUUUUUCAAUUUCCUUUAAACAUAUCAUAGUUUUAAUACCAUUUAUUUUUACAUUUUAAAAAUAAUUUUUAAAAAAAUUAAAAAUAAAUUUUAUUUUUUAUUUCAAAAUAAUAUUUUUUUAAAUAUUUUUAAAUUAUCUUGAUAUAUUGAUAUUAAAAUUAAUUUUUAAAAGAUAAAUUUUUUCAAACAUAAAGUUUAGCCUGCAGAUCUUCCGCUGAUCCCAUCUCAUUGUUGUAUGCAUCCAAGCUAAGCCAAUUCAAGAAAGAAGAUUUGAAGAAUACCACCAGCAGCAGGAGUAAUACAUUAACAUAACAGCAUUAUGGCAGAAGGAGGGACGACCUCACUGCAAGGGCGAAGGCAUGUUAAAGACUUGGGCGUGCUAUAAUUUAGAUUAAAACUUUAUUAAUAUUUUUUGAUUAGUUUUAUUUAAAAAAAUUGUAAUUCUUGAUUGAAUUAUUAAAAAAAUUUAAAAUUUAUGUGGAGCUUUCUAGAAUAACGUUUUAACUUGGAUUAAAAUUUCAGAAUAUUUUGAGAAAUUCAAAAAUUUGAUGAAAAAUCAUAAUUUAACUAAUUUUAUGUUAAUUGAUGUAAUUUUCAAUCCAACUAUCAAAUUGAGCUGAAAUUUUACGAGAAAUCUUAAAAUAUAUUAAAUAAAAUAUAAUUAAAAUUUUAUGAUGAGUGGAGCUUGAUAAUACUAACAAAAAAAAUCAUCAAAUAAAAACAAAUCAAGAAUAAAAUGAUUAUUUCCAUUAAAAAGUAAAAUAAAUCAACUAUUUAUAUAAUAGCUAAAUCUAUUAAGAUAAAUCGAAAAUAACUAGUAAAAUCAAUGACUUGUAUUGACGAGUGUGUCUAUAUAUACAUAUAGGAACUGCUGAUUCGAUUUGAAUAUGUUAUUUGAUUAGUCUAAUUCAUGAUUUGCAUUGACUCAAAAUUACCACUAGAAAUUCCUAGUUUCGUGGUGCUUUCUCAGCCUGCAAAUGAAUAUAAAGCAUAUCCUUUUAUCCUAUAUAAAGAAUACAAUUAACCUUUUUAUCUUUUAUAAUUAUAAUUAUUGCAUUGCUAAUAAUUUGCACGAAAGAAUAUUGUUUCUCUGAAAAGGGCUUGAGAAAACCCUAAGCAUAGUAUAUAAUCUCUUAUAGGAAUCUCUUUAUUAAAUUAUCAAAAUAUCAAAGUCUGUUUCCAAAGACUAUGACUACAGUUUAUAUAUAGAAACAACCAAAUAUAAAAAUUAUUAAUUUUUAAAUAGAAAAACCAGAGAGCUUGAUAAUAUUUAAUAAAAAAAAUAAAAUAGAAAAAUUAUUCCUUUUUAAGUAGAAAAAAAUUAUAAAGAUUUAAUAAUACUAAAUAAGAAAAAUUAAAAUUUCUACACUAAAUUAAAAAAACAAAAAAAAAACUGAGAAAAUAUUUAUUAUCCCAAUAGUUCUUAUAUUAAAAUCUCAUUUAUCAUAUGUUAUAUCUAUCAAAAUAAUAAUAAUAAUAACUUGUGACUUGAACUAAAGCUACAUGCGAAAACUAGAAAAACCCGGUAGAGACCCGUUCUGUUUUUUCAAAUAUGUUUUUUCUUCUAGCUAGAGACCUUUUUUUUUAAUAUAUUUUUCUAUUGGUUACUAAACCAUUUCAAAGUUCACUAUAUAAAUACUAGAAGAAUAUUUUAUUUUUUCAAUAUGGAAUAAAAAAAAUCAUUUUUGUUUACAUACCUCAAUUUAAAAGAAUUAGAUAAUAUUUUUUUAAUAUGAGAUAAAAAAACCUUUUGAAAUAAUCUUUUAAACUUUAUUAUAUGCAACAUGUAUAAUCUAUAUUCAUAUAAAUUAUUUCUUUAAUUUUUUUCAUUCUCAUAUUCAAACUUCCAAUAUUGAGAGAGAAAUUAAAAGGAGCAAAAGGAAACAACCAGUGAGGACAAUAUCCUCCAGCUCAUCAUCAGAUCCCACGAAAGGAACGCAGAAAGACAUUCCCUUUCUUGUCAUCAAGUUUUGAAUCAAAAAGUACUUUCGUGCAUUAUUGUCAUAAAGUUUUUCAAACUUCCAAUAUAGAGAGAGAAAUUAAAAGUAAAAAUAAAAAGAGCAAAAGGAAACAACCCCCACCCCAUCUUUCUUGUUCCCUUUUCCUUCAAUGAAAAAGCAAGCACUAAUGCACCUUCUCCACAAACUACCCCCCAAUUUCGCCACUAUAUAAAUAUAUUAUGGAAAACAAGAUAAAAAGAAAUCUUUCGGUACAUCUAUAUAUAUAUAUAUAUAUAUAUAUUAUGGCUAUGAAAAUAGGUUUGUGGAAAUUUACAUGGUUUGAUUUUGACAGUGUCAGAUUAGACAAUUGCAUGGAAAUGGUCUUCUUAGUUUGCCGUGUGGAAAAUCAUGUCAUUUACGGGACUGCUGGAGAGAGUUUCUAUUGAUAAUUUCACUCGAAAAGUUUUAGUAAUUUACAAAGGAAAUUUCUCCUUUAUAUGAAUUGAAAAACUAUUAUUGACUGACUUCUUGCAAAGUAUUUGCAAGAAAGCUAAAGAAUUAAAGUUUUUCAAUUUUGAAAAUUAUAAUUUAAAAUUUUUAGAAAAAAAUCAAUUAUUUUUAAAAUUGUUUUCAAAAAUACACUACCAGAAAUUCAUCUAAUACCAACGGACUUACCGACAGAAUUAUUCUGUCGGUAAAUUGCGGUGAUAAUUACUGACGGAUACUAAUCCGUCUGUAAUUCAGUUGGUAUAUACCGACGGAAUUAUUCCGUCGGUAUAUACCGACUGAAUUACAGAAGAAAGAUAUAGAAUUAAAAAAAAGCGGGGAUGUUGACGUGACAGUUUUUGCGGGCGAUUUUACCGACGGAAUCAACGAGGGAUUCAAACCCUGAUUUUGUUUAUGAGCAAUUUUGACUAUCUUAGAGGUAGAACUAGGUUCUCUUUAAUCAUAGAACUUGUAGCCUCAUGUCUUAGCUUUCUAACAAGACUAAUCUUGCUUAAAUCGGAGUUUUAUAACUCCAGAUAUAGUUAAAAAUAUGAGGAGAGGUCAGACAGUAACAGUUCAAUGUUUAGACAGUAACAGUUCAAAAAUGAGACAGUAAUAGUUGGACAGUAACAGUUCAAGAACGAGACAGUAACAGUUAAAAAAUGAGACAGUAACAGUUCAAAAAUGAGACAAUAAUAGUUGGACAGUAACAGUUCAAAAAAGGAGACAGUAACAGUUAAAAAACGAGACAGUAACAGUUCAAUGUCUAGACAGUGACAGUUCGGGAUUUAAACAGAAACGGUUCAAAUAUAUAUAUAUAUAUAUAUAUAUGUGUGUGUGUGUGUGUGUGUGUGUGUGUGUGUGUGUGUGUGUGUGAAAUGAGAAAAAUGUAAAAUAUUAAGAAAUGACUGAAAGAAAGACUUAUUGGUUGUUGAUAUGGUUAUAAUAAAACAUAUCCUUGAGUGAGGAAGUAGAGCUUCUAUUGCAGGUAGGUAAUCCGUACCUAUACUUUCUAGUUUAAUUCUAUGAUUUAAUAAGUUAUUGAUGUGAGAUGUGAAUUACCGAAUAUGGGAUAUUAGGAUAAAGGAGGAAAGUUUGCGUAAUGAUGCCGAUAUUUGGAAAGUAUUCUUAAUGUAUGUGUAUUCAAGGUGAACGGUUGUUCUGUGAAUUGCCAAGUGAUGAAAUUAUAAUUGAUAAAGAAAAUAUGAGAAGUGUGAUUUGGGGCGUGAACUAGCAUACAUUUAGUGUAUGUUAGGAUCCCGGGUAAGGGGAUCAAGAUGUAUUGGCUAGCAUACAUUUAGUGUAUGUUAGGAUCCCGGGUAAGGGGAUCACCAUGUAUUGGCUAGCAUACAUUUAGUGUAUGUUAGGAUCCCGGGUAAGGGGAUCACCUUGCAUCGACUCCUACAUGAUGAUGAUGAUGAUAACAGUGAAAUUGGUAUCGGUAAUGUGUUAAGCGGAAAUAAUCAUGGGUGGUUUUAUGAGAUCUUGAAUGGAGGUUGAUAAUAGAAGAGGAAAUGGUUUUUAGUAGUUGAAGGAGAAAAAGUCUCCAAUAAGAACCAAAAGGGAGAAGUGAAUAAAAUAUGAAUGUAUGUUGCCUUUUUAAAUUGCUGGAUAUUUGUAUUGCUAUAUUAUUGUGAUAUUCAUAUUUCAAUAAUAUGUAUUUUAUUUUCAGGACCAUCGCAUGCAUGACAGGAGUAGAUUUUGGCUUAGGUUCUUUUUUUGUAAUUUAGGUUCUAAGGAGUAUACCCUUGUAUUUGGUAAUAUUACAACUUUUAUUUAACUUAAUUUGUAUAAUUGAUGUUUAAACUUGAAUAGAUGAACUUAAUUCGGUAGUUUGUAUAACUAUGUUCCAUUAAGCAUGUUUAUAUCUUUAACCAUCCAUAAUGAUAAUUGUUGUACAAUGUAUAUCAUCAACAUUGUGGUUGAUAUGAAUGGUGAUGUUUGUGGGAUUGAGACCUAAGAUGAUUAGGCUGAAUUGAGUUGGAGAUGCGGUAUAUUAGAAGUGUAAACAGGACGUAUGUCGAUAACUUGGGACCUCCCGGUAUAGGGGAUACUCUGUUAAAAUUUCACUAGACUUUAAUGCAAAUACCAUGAAUAGAUAUAUAUAUAUAAAAUUUAGUCACUCUGUUUAUCAGCUAACAUGAGAUCGUUGCUUUAUCCCUGAUAUGGGAAUGUUACAGGUUCGAUAGAAGUCAUGGAUGAUUGUUCAUGGAUGUAUCGAGAUCCAUGUGUUAAUUUUGACAACAUGUAUUAAUUAAGAUGACAACAUGUAUUAAUUAACUAACAUAGUUAACUAAUACAUGUUUUCAUCAUAAUUUUAUAGAGGUUCGAUAAAAGUCAUGGAUGAUUGUUCAUGGAUGUAUCGAGAUGCACCCCAUGGAUUGCAGAGGAUUCUUUGAAGAAAAUUCAAAUUUUCAUGUUUUCGAUAAUAGUCUUGUUGAUGUUGACGCAGAGGAGUUGAAUGUUGUUUUGAGCUCUAACGGACAAGCAAAUAUCGAUGAAGAUGAUGAUUAUGAUGACAUCCAUAUUGAAGAUUGCGAUGGAGCUGAUGACUAUUCAAUUGAUGACGAAGAAGAAGAAAAUUCUGACUAACUAGCAGAAUCAAGGAAAGUGCAAAGCAUUUUUCUAAAAUGUAAUAUGUAUUAUCGAUGAUAUUUUGUAACAUGAAAUAUUUAUUUGAUAAGUGUUUAAGUGUUUUUGUGUGAUGGGCAGUUUGUAAUUUAAGUGUUUGUAGGAAGGUAAAUAGGCAAUACAAACAAAAGUUUUCAUGCACAGUGCACGAUCACCAACGUCCAUACCGAUGGAUUACAUUUCGUCGGUAUUGCACAGAGAGCUGUAAAAUAUUUAUUGGAAAUGCCACAAUCACCGACGACUUUGCAGAUGGAUUACCGUCCGUCGGCAUUCAACAGAGAGGUUCACUGGAAAUGCCACAAUCACUCACCGACGACUUUGUAGACAGAUUAAAGUCUGUCAGCAUUCCACAGAGAGGUUCACUGGAAAUGCCACAAUCACCGACGACUUUGCUGAUGGAGUAGAGUCUGUCGGCAUUCCACAGAGAGUGGUGGAAAUGCCACAAUCACCGAUGACUUUGCAAACGGAUUACAGUCCGUCGGCAUUGUGUCGGCAGCUCACAAUUAUCGAUAAAUUCACCAACGAACGGUGUGAAUUCCAAAGGACGGGUAAUAAAUGCAUAUCUGAUAGCGUGCAGCUGCCGACGGAAUUACCAACGAACUGCGAAAAAUAUGGAGGGUAAUUAAAAAAUUCUGGAGCAAAAUUCAAAAUUUACCGACGGAGUUAAAUGUUCGUCAGUGAAUCCGUCGGUAAAAUUACGAUAUAAAUGCCAGCGACCGCCCUUUGAGUUCAUUUUUUCAUCUCCUUUGUUUUUAGAGCUUAACUUUUUGUUUUUUUUCCCUCUCAUUUCCUUCAAAUCUCUUGUUUUUUCUUGUAAUCUCUAGUUAUAUCUUCAGCAAAUUAAAAGGUAUGUAUUUCCUCUACUUAAUUUGCUUUAAGAUUUUACUUUUUUAUUUGUUCUUUGUUUAGCAAUUGUUAUUUUUGUUAUGUUUUUUGUUUUGGUGUAUUUUCAUAAUGUAGAUAAAGUCUUACAAUAAACACAUUAUUAAGGUAAGCAUUUUUCAUUCUUAAAGUCUAUAGUUUUUUUUUUAACUUGUUCAAUAUAUUUUGUUGUUUGUUUUGCCAUAAUAAUUAGGGGUGAGCAAAUUCGGUUCGGUUCGGUUUUUAUCUAAAAAACUAACCAAAAUCAAAUUUUGAAAAACUUAAAAAUUCAAACCGGACCCAAACCGGAACCGGUUCAAACCGACCGGUUUCGGUUCGGUUCGGUUCGGUUUUUUUAUCAGGAAAACCGGAAAACCUGUAUUAUUGUUUUUUUGGGCUUUUUCGGGCUUUUUAAUGGGCUUUCUGAUGGGUUUUCUGAUGGGCUUGUAAUUAAUGUAAAUAUCAUCUAAUUUUGUUACAAAAUUCUAUAAUAUAUUUAAUAUUUUUUAUCACUAAAUAUUCAUUUAUAUUAAAUUAUUAGUGCUAAUAUUAUGUUUAAUAUGUUGCACAUCUUUCUAAUAUUUAUAUUUAGGAGUUUGGACUCCUCAUGCAUCAAAAUUUAAAUAACACACACACCAAAUUAAAAUUAAAAUUACAAAGCAUUGCCUUCAAAAUGGGCUUAAAAAAACAACAAAUAACAUUGCCAUAAAAAAUAAAAUACUUCAUGCAAAAAAUAUAAAUCUUCAUUGUGCACAUCAUCUCAAUCAAAAAGCACAACAAGAUGACAAGAACAUUGCACUUUGAUUCCGUAAUACCAUUGACAUCAAAACCUGAAAAUCAAGAUCUAAAAUUAUAACAUGAUAAAAUAAAUUAGAAUAUGUAAAAAUAAAUAGUAGUAUUUUACCAUCAAAGUAACUUUUGAACUAAUUAUCAUUUGUUACUAAAUGUAACUUUCCACCAAAUUCUACAAAAUAAAAAAUUAGACAUGUUAGAUGAUUGCAAACAAUUUAAUUAAUAAAUAACAAAAUAAAAGGUGCAAAUUUCUAAAAACAAUUACCUGACUCAAGGUUUUCGUAGGUUUCAAGAUCAUUUAUCAAGCUUCUAAUAUCAGUUGGAAUUGAUCCAUGAUGAAACCAAUUUUGACAACAAAUGAGUGCUUGAACAGUUGCUGGAGAUAGAGAACUUCGAAAUUGAUCAAGUACACGACCACCUGUGCUAAAUGCUGAUUCAGAAGCCACUGUAGAUAUAGGAAUAGCCAGAACAUGUUGUGCAACCUUUGAAAGUGUCUUAUAUUUCAAAGCAUUACUUUUUCACCAACCCAAAAUAUCUAACUUAUCAUCAUUACGAUCCUCACAACCUUCAAUCAAAUACCUCUCAACCUCAUUUUUAUUUUCCACACUAUCCACCUUCAGCAAAUGUCUUUUGAAUCGAGCCAAAGUGUUAACAUCUACCUCCACAUCAUCAAUAGCAUUAACAUCCUGUUUAUGCCUAUUAUUAUCCACCACUUCAUCAAUUUUCAAAUAAAACUCAUACAAGCUCACCAAAGUAUCUUUCACCUUAUUUGUUAGCAAUUGUGCUUUGUCAUAAUCAUACAAAUCACCAAAACAAAAUUCCACAUAUUUCAACUUCAAACAUGGAUCUAAGACAUUAGCCACAUAUAACAAAAAAUUCUGAUUUACUUCACAACCCCAAUACUUCUCAAACUUUAACAUCAUCUUCAUCGCCAUUCCACUUUAACAAGUUUGUAUGCAUGUAAAUCAAUUCAUUGAAGAAAGAAUUUGAUGUGACAUGCAAUGAGCCAGAAAAUAUCAAUGUAACCAUAUAAAAGAUCUUUAAGAACUUAACCAAAGUUCUUGCAUUUUCCCAAUCCUCCAAACUAGGUGGCCCUAUGUUUUUUUUAUUCCCCUUUGAAUCAACCUCCAAAAAGUAACUCAUAUACCUAAGUUCUCUUUCACCUAACCUCACAAAUACCUUUUCAAACUUUUCAGCAGCUUCUAGCAUAAGAUAAGUUGAAUUCCAUCGAGUUGCAACAUCUAAACACAAUGAUUUCUUACACUCUAUAUGCAACUUUUCAGCACACUUCUUAAAUGCAAGAUGCCUCAACGGUGAAGAUCUCACAAACCUAAUGGCAUUUCGAAUCUUAACAACUGAAUCAUUAAUCUCUUUCAAGCCAUCACACACAAUGAGGUUUACAAUGUGUGCACAACAUCUAACAUGCAGGUGCUCAUUUGACAAUAUAUUAGUUGGCCAAUCUUUCAUCACAUUCUUUAAAUAUGAAAUGGUCACAUUAUUAGAGCUUGCAUUGUCUAAUGUAAUAGUCAACAGUUUAUCAAUCCCCCACUCCAACAAACAAUUCUCAAUAACUUGGCCAAUUGUCUCACCCAUAUGAUUGGAAACUUGACAAAAAUUAAGAAUUCUUUUAUGCAAAUUCCAGUCAUUAUCAAUCCAAUGAGCUGUUAAACAAAUAUAGUUAAUAUUUUGGAUUGAUGUCCAUGUAUCUGUUGUCAAGCACAAUCGUUGACCCCUAAGAGCUGUCCUCAAUCUAUCCUUCUCUUCAACAUAAAGUUUCAAACAAUCUCUCAUAAUUGUAAAACGAGAAGGAAUGUCAAAUCUAGGUUGUAUAGUCCUAGCAAACAAUUUAAAUCCCCGACCCUCCACAAAAUUAAAAAGCAACUCAUCAAUUAUAACCAUCUUUGCUAGUGCUUGUCUACAUUCAUCAUAAUUAUAACCUAUUGCCUUAAGACUUCCCACAUUUUGUUCUCCCAAUUCACCCUUCUCUAUCUUAGGUUCUAAUACCAAAACCUUUUGUUUCUUAUCAAUCACAAAAGGGAACUUCUUGUACACUUUUAAAUGACUCCACAUAUUACUUGUGCCAUUAACAAUAGUAUGACAUGCAUAAUGUUUUCCACAAUAAUUACAUUCAGCUCUAGGGGUUUUAGGAUCAACAUCAAGUUUUGUAAAGUGAUCCCAAGUUUGUGACUUCUUUUUAUCAUCAGCAUUUCUUUUCCUAGAUGAAAGGACUUGAGGUUGUUUACCUUGUGUAUCUGUGGUGGAUCCUGCAUUGGUUGAUUCUACAUUAGGUUUUGAAGUUGGAGAAGUAGUUGAUGUUGGUGUAGUGCCUGUGGAUGAAGCAUUUUGAAUUUGAGUAGUUUCCAUCUGUUAUUAUAUAUGAAAACAUGUUAAAAACCAAUAAUUUAUAAUAGAUUAACAACAGUAUGACAUGCAUAAGUUCAACUGUAAUUUUAAAGAUUAUUUUCACAAGUUAAGUUCUUUUAUUUUGGUUGAUAUGUUGUAAAAACAAUUAUGUUGCUGAGUGCUGAGAUUGUAUUUUGUAAUUUCAAUAGACAAUAAUACAAUACAAUAUAUAUAUAUAUAAACAUUAUUCUCUUUUCAAUAAAUAAAAAAAAUUCAGUUUUCAGAAUUGAUAAAUUACAAUCCACCGAAUCCCCCCUCUUUUUUUUAACACAGAUAAUAAACAUUAUUCUCUGUUUUUUUAGCACACAGCAUUGACAGCACACCAUAAUAAUGGAUUAGCAAUAAUAUUUAAAACAAAUGCCUCUCGGGGAAACUGUAUUUUCCCAUUUUUCUCCCUAAUGUAAUAUCAGGCUCAUAAUACCAAUUCACCGCAUUGGUAUUGCAAGUUUUUAUCAUUUGUUUAGUAUCAUUUUCUUCUUCAGUCAUUUGGCUAUUGACAUAAUGAGAUAAUUUUUCUAAUCUUUUACCAGUACUCCACCUUAGAGUAUGAGUGGAAUUCAAUCUCUAAUGUCUAGCUAAAAGCCUAAAACGGCACAAAGAGGUUUCUUUAGUAAUGAUCAAGUUUUACCACUACCAGUGCCAAUUAUUCCCAUUUCUUUCAGUGAUGUGCUGUUAGCUUUAGCAUUUGGAACAAUCAUAACAUAUUGUCUUUCUCAUGACCAGUGCCAUUUCUACCAGUGCCAAUUAUCUGUGUUUUGUAUAUUAAAUUAACAUGCAAGAGUUUGUAUAUUAAAUUAACCCUCAUUCCGAUAUUAAUCUAGAUUCCAUUAUUUUUUCAUUGCUACUCAUGACCUUAAUAAAACACGAAUUCAUUAACAUAUUGUCUUUCUCAGCAAAGAAAAAACGCAUUGUCUCUGUCAUAAAUCUCUUCUUAAGAAGUUUAUUAAAAAAUAAACAGAAUCACAGAGCAAUAGAGCAUAUGUUCAAAAAAAAAACAGAGACAAAAAAAAAAUCAUACCUGGUGUGACACGAUUCAAGGUCGGGUGUGAGAGAGGGAGGUGACUGCCUCACUGGUUCGCUAAAUCUGGAGUUGGACUCUGGAGGUUCGGUGAGCCGGUGUGGUGUGUGUCCUACGAUUCAAGAUCAGGUGUGACCGUGUGAGAGAGGGACGUGGCUGACUGGGGUUUGAAGAUGAAGAUGGUGGCCGGUGGGAGAGGGAUGUGGCUGACUGGCGUUUGAAGAUGAAGAUGGUGGGAGAGGGAUGUGGCUGACCGGCGUUUGAAGAUGAAGAUGAAGAUGGUGGGAGAGGGAUGUGGCUGGUUGUGGUCCAGUAGAUGAAGAUGGAUUGAUUUCUUACAUAUGUGAAAUUGUGAGUUGUGAGUUGAGGGAGCGGCUUAGGAGAAAGGAGAAGGACGGCUGGAGCAGGAGUAUGGAUGCUAGGGUUAAGAAAAACAACGCGAUUUUUUUUGUAGCUAUUUAUAGUACCCCUUAAACCGAACCGGUUCGGUUCGAUUGGGGUUUUUCCGGUUUCAGGUUUCUAAAACCGAAACCGAACCGAACCAAACCAAAAAUUUUUACAAAAAAUUUAAUCGGUUUUUUUGGUUAUUUUUUUUUCGGUUUUCUCGGUUUAUUCGGUGUCUCGGUUUUUUUUCUCACCCCUAAUAAUAAUUGAACACUUUGUUGAAUUUUAAUUGUUAUUGUUGAAUUUACCUUGCAAUUAGUAAUUGAAUACACUGGAAUGAAUUUAAUUAUUUUAUCUCAAUUUUACUGUAUUUUUGCAUGAUAUGUGUUUAAUUAUUUUGUUGAAUUUUAAUUGUUAUUGUUGAAUUUACCUUGUAAUUAGUAAUUAAAUAUAUUGGAAUAAAUUUAAUUAUUUUAUUUCAAUUUUACUGUAUUUUUGCAUGAUAUGUGUUUAAUUAUUUUGUUGAAUUUUAAUUCUUAUUGUUGAAUUUACCUUGUAAUUAGUAAUUGAAUAUAUUGGAAUGAAUUUAAUUAUUUUAUCUCAAUUUUACUGUAUUUUUGCAUGAUAUGUGUUUAAUUAUUUAGUUGAAUUUUAAUUGUUAUUGUUGAAUUUACCAUGUAAUUACUAAUUGAAUAUAUAAGAAUAAAUUUAAUUAUUUUAUCUCAAUUUUACUCUAUUAUUACAUGAUAUGUGUUUAAUUAUUUCCAUUAAUUUUAAUUGUUAUUUGUAUAGAUGUUAGGUUAUAUGUAAGAUUUUUGAAUGGGGGUCAAUUGGUUGUGGCUAUUGUUAAUAUUUGAAGGUUUGAAAACUUUGGGUAGUCUCCAGUAUAGAAGAGACGCUGCUGAAUUUUUUUUAACAAUCGAAUUUAAUUAUAUAAUUAUUCUUAUAAAAUUGCGUAGAUGUGUAUAAUGAAAUCAACUGUUCGUCGCUCACAUAUGGUCGCAGCUAGUUCUUCUAGCAGCAAGAAUGACAUUUCCUUAGGUGUCAAUCAAGAAGAGGUACCUGCACCACCUACCGAUGCUGCCUCUUGCAGCACGGUUUCACAGCGCAGAGACGGCGUGCCUUCACAGUGGAAUCAAUUUACUUACAAGUACGAGGCACAAUGGAAGAACGAUGUUUCAAUGUAAGUUUGUUUUGAUUUUAGUUUUUUUUUUAAUUAUAACAUAAUUUAUGAACAACUAAUCAAUAUUUCAUUAAUUUAAUUUAUUUUCAGGUUCACAAACAUUGAGACCGUCCGAGUAAUAUCAUCGGCGUUUAAAUCGUCGAUGGAGAUUCCAUUAUUUCAAUGGAGUUAGGUAUCCAGACAUCCUGAAUGGAUACCUAAUAUCGAUGCAUGGUUUGAUAAAUUUGAGGUUGGUGUUAAUUUCUAAUUUCCAGCUUAUUUUUAAUAAAUUAUUAAUAUAAUUAUAAAUAAAUUAUUAUUUUUAUUUUAAAUAAAUUAUGUAUACGUGGCACAAAUUCGAGUAGGACAGCACACAUGAUAAUAUUGUGAGGAGGGUGUGGGAAAAUCAUGCGGCAACUAAGUAACAUCGAAAACAAUAUGAUAUUUUUUAAAAAAAAAAUAUGUUUUAAAAUCUAAUUUGUUACUAUGGAAGUAGGUUGUGUGAUUUUUGGUAUGAAGCACAAAAAAAGGUAAAAAAAAAAAAAACACGAGAGAUAGAGGUCUCCAAGGCUAGAACGACGUGGCGGUUUGGGGGGAUUUCAAACCGCUACACAUCCCGGAAAAUAUUUGGCCGGAAUAUAUUGAGCACGUGACGUCUGAGCGGUUCACACGACGCUCAAAGUCUGGUGCUGACAACCGGAACAGGCAAAUUCAUGGUUCACUGACAACGCACAUCGACGGCUCCGUAUCGUUUGCUACACAUGCAAAACGGAUAUAAGAUUAAUUUAAAUGAAAUAUAUCGUUAAAUAAUUUGUUGUUACUUAAUUAAUUUUUUUUCUUACAGGCUACGUCUCUUGGACGUGAGCCGAGCCCAAUGGAGCUGUUUGUAGAGACGCACAUGCGGAGUCAAGACCGCCAAAAGGGGGUGCAACAGUUCGUUGACAACCGCGCUCAACACUUUGUGGUAUGUUCGUUCAACCAUUUUAUUUCGUAAGUUAUUAUUUUUAUUGAAUUGAAUAUGAUGAUUUUUUUUUAUUUUCAGGAUACCUAUAAUAGUCGUUGAGGGAGAGAUAUAGGGACGAUCCUUCAAUCCAUCCGGAUUUCAAUCCGGAUUUGUGGAUGGCGGUAGGAUCGUCCGGUGGACUCGAUAAAAAUCAGGUGUAUGGGCUCUCCAACACCACGGCCGAGAACUUGCGAGCGGCCAGUAGUGCCUCAACCGUUGGGAGCUCCCAAUCUAAGGAGUCCGUGGCCUUGCAGCAACACACGAGUCAUCUCACCGAGAAAUACGAGCAACUCUCGACGAAUUAUGAACUUCGCCAAAUUAUCAUGAACAUGACAUCACAGAGUGACUUUAUGGUCUCGGGAAAAACCAGCCUCCUCCUCCUCCUCCUCCUCCAGCCCCGCCAUUCUGCUAAUUUAAUAUUUUUUUGGAAACACAUUCAAUUUGUAAUGAAUAUUAUUUAACUUUAUUUUUUUAUUUUUGAUGUUUAAUAAAAUUUUAUUUGCAUAAUAGUUUUUUUUACUAUUAAUUUACAUAUUUUUAUAUUAUUUAUUCUAAAUAAUUUUUUAAAAAACAAAUUUAAAAAACCCCACCAACAGAAUUCAUCCGUCGGCAUUUUACAGAAAGUUGAAAGAUAUUUACUAAAAAAGGCCACAAUCACUGAUGUCUUCACAGACGGAUAGUGUCCGUUGGCAUUUUACUUAGAAUCAAAAAAUAUUUACUGGAAAUACUAUAUUCACUGAUAUUUUCACAGACAGAUUUAUUUCGUUGGUAAAUACCGAGAGUUCAAACAAUGACUUGCAUUGACGAGUGUAAUAAUCUGGAACCACUCGCAAUAAAUAAAGCCACAAAAGGCAGACGAGAGUGUCUAUAUAUAUACAUAUAGGAACUGCUGAUUCGUGGUGCUUUCUCCUGCAAAUGAAUAGAAGACGAGUGUGUCUAUAUAUAUACAAAUAGGAACUGCUGAUUCGUGGUGCUUUCUCCUGCAAAUGAAUAGAAAGCAUAUCCUUUUAUCCUAUAUAAAGAAUACAAUUAACCUCAUUUCAAUAUCCUUGCUUUACUCUUCAGCUAACUUCUCUCUCCCAUUGCUGAAAUUUCAUAGCUAACUCUUUGUUAUAUAGAGGUAUAUAUGGCUAACUCUUCUUUGCUUCUUUCGUGUUUUAAUUUCAUGUCUUUACCAUUAACAAUAAUGUGAAAGCUUUGUUUGUUUCAUGUUUAACUUCAGUUGCUAUUGUCUUAUGCUCUCUCAUUAUUAAGCUUAAACUGUUGUAUCAUCUUCGAUGAUCUUGACAUGUAUCUCUUACUUGUAUUAGCAAGAGAGUAGAUACCUUCUGCAAUUGCUCCAUUGCUAAUUGACUGUGCCUUGAUUUCUGCAGCUGCCAUGACAGAGCCGGAGUCUUCUCGAUCUAUAUCACUAGGGGCCUAUGAUGUCUUCUUGAGUUUUAGAGGAGAAGACACUCGCAAGACAUUUACAGAUCAUCUCUAUACUGCCUUGGUCCAAGCAGGAAUCCACACUUUUCGAGAUGAUGAUGAACUUCCGAGGGGAGAAGAAAUCUCCGAUCAUCUCCUCAGGGCAGUUCAAGAAUCGAAGAUAUCCAUAGUUGUCUUCUCAAAAGGAUAUGCUUCUUCUAGAUGGUGUCUCAAUGAACUUGUAGAGAUUCUGAAGUGCAAAAAUAGGAAAACCGGUCAGAUUGUUCUUCCUAUAUUCUAUGACAUUGAUCCUUCAGAUGUGAGAAAACAGAAUGGCAGUUUUGCAGAAGCAUUUGUUAAACAUGAAGAGCGUUCUGAAGAGAAGUUGGUGAAGGAGUGGAGAAAAGCUCUUGAGGAGGCUGGAAAUCUAUCUGGACGGAAUCUCAAUGAUAUGGCAAAUGGGUAUGCCUUUUUCCCAAAUUUAUGGAGUCAAUAUACUUUACAUUUUUCAAUGUGAAACAAUAAAAUGCUUAAUUGACUCGCUAUCAAUGACUGCCUUUUGUCUAUGAGCAGGCAUGAAGCAAAAUUUAUCAAAGAGAUUAUCAAGGAUGUGUUGAAUAAAUUAGAUCCCAAGUACUUGUAUGUUCCUGAGCACCUAGUAGGUAUGGAUCGGCUUGCUCACAAUAUUUUUGACUUUCUAAGUACUGCAACCGAUGAUGUACGCAUUGUGGGCAUACAUGGGAUGCCAGGAAUCGGAAAGACAACUAUAGCAAAAGUUGUAUUUAAUCAACUCUGCUAUGGAUUCGAGGGAAGCUGUUUUCUUUCGAAUAUCAAUGAAACACCAAAAAAACUUACAGGUCUUGUUCGUUUACAAACGCAACUUCUUCGUGAUAUUUUAAAACAAGAUGUUGCAAACUUCGAAUGUGUUGAUAGAGGAAAGGUUCUGAUCAACGAACGAAUUCGUCGCAAAAGAGUUCUUUUUGUUGCUGAUGAUGUGGCUCGUCAGGACCAGCUAAAUGCUUUGAUGGGAGAGCGAAGUUGGUUCGGUCCGGGAAGUAGAGUAAUUAUUACAACAAGAGAUUCAAAUCUUCUUCGUAAAGCGGAUCAAACAUAUCAAAUUGAAGAAUUGACACGAGAUCAGUCCCUUCAGCUUUUCAGCUGGCAUGCCUUUAAGCACUCCAAGCCAGCAGAAGAUUAUAUUGAGCUUUCGAAGGAUGUAGUUGAUUACUGUGGAGGACUUCCUUUGGCUCUUGAGGUUAUGGGUGCUUGUCUGUACGGGAAAAACAGAGGUGGUUGGAAAUCUGUAAUUGACAAAUUGAGAAGAAUUCCAAACCACGAUAUUCAAGGAAAGCUUAGAAUAAGUUAUGACUCACUGGACGGUGAAGAACUACGAAAUGCAUUCCUUGAUAUCGCUUGCUUCUUUAUUGAUAGAAAGAAAAGGUACGUCGCAAAAGUGCUAGGAGCCCGUUGCGGUUACAAUCCAGAAGUUGAUUUGGAAACUCUCCGUGGAAGGUCUCUGAUUAAAGUUAAUGCCAUUGGAAAGAUAACCAUGCAUGAUCUAUUACGAGACAUGGGAAGGGAGGUUGUUCGUGAAACGUCUCCAAAAGAACCUGGAAAGAGGACCAGAAUUUGGAACCAAGAGGAUGCAUGGAAUGUACUUGAGCAGCAGAAGGUACGUAAGAGCGCAAUGCAUACAUGAAAGCAUAGUCAUGCGUAUUUUCUAGUCAAACUUAUUACAAAUAAUUGUAUGAAAGUUGGAUUGAUUUUUUUUUAGGGUACGGAUGUUGUAGAGGGUCUUGCACUGGAUGUAAGAGCAUCAGAAGCUAAAUCACUGAGCACAAGAUCAUUUGCAAAAAUGAAACGCUUAAAUUUACUCCAAAUCAAUGGAGCACAUCUCACCGGAUCCUUCAAACUGCUUUCUAAAGAGUUGAUGUGGAUUUGUUGGCUUCAAUGUCCUUUGAAAUAUUUUUCAUCUGAUUUUACCUUGGAUAAUCUGGCUGUUCUUGAUAUGCAAUACAGUAACCUCAAAGAACUAUGGAAGGGACAAAAGGUGUGAAACAUUCUACAAUCCCCAAAAUUUCUCCAGUAUGUAAUUUAUAUUUACAUGUUAUGACUUUCUAUGAUUAAUUUUCAUUAUUUUGCCCUCUAUUAAGACAGAUUCUCAACAGGUUAAAAAUCCUCAAUCUCAAUCAUUCUAAGAACCUUAUUAAAACACCAAACUUGCACAGUUCAAGUCUAGAGAAACUAAAGUUGAAAGGUUGCUCGAGUUUAGUUGAGGUGCAUCAAUCAAUUGAAAAUUUGACAAGCCUUGUUUUCUUGAAUCUGGAGGGAUGUUGGAAUCUGAAGAUUCUUCCUGAAAGCAUUGGCAAUGUAAAGUCUCUUGAAACUUUGAAUAUUUCUGGGUGUUCACAACUUGAGAAAUUGCCAGAAUGCAUGGGUGAUAUGGAAUCCUUAACCGAGCUGCUAGCAGAUGGGAUUGAAAAUGAGCAAUUUCUCACUUCAAUUGGACAAUUAAAGCAUGUCAGAAGGUUAUCGUUGUGUGGAUACAGUUCGGCUCCACCAAGUUCUUCUUUGAAUUCAGCAGGUGUUUUGAAUUGGAAACAGUGGCUGCCAACAUCUUUUGGAUGGAGAUUAGUGAAUCAUCUUGAGCUUUCUAAUGGUGGUUUGUCUGAUCGCACAACUAACUGUGUUGAUUUCAGUGGUUUGUCCGCUCUAGAAGUAUUGGAUCUAACAAGAAACAAAUUCUCUAGCCUGCCUUCUGGGAUCGGCUUCCUUCCCAAGCUAAGGCGGUUGUUUGUUCUGGCAUGCGAAUAUCUUGUAUCAAUCCUAGAUCUUCCCUCAAGUUUAGAUUGUUUGGUUGCAUCUCAUUGCAAAUCAUUGAAAAGAGUAAGAAUACCAAUCGAGCAAAAAAAAGAUCUAUAUAUAGAACUACAUGAAAGUCAUUCGUUAGAAGAGAUUCAGGGCAUCGAAGGUCGAAGUAAUAGUUUCUGGUAUAUUUGUUCUAAUCAGUUCAGUCAUUCACCAAAGAAAUUACAGAAAAGCGUUGUUGAGGUACUAUUUCUUUCAGUCUCUUUUGCACACGAAGAAACACACAAUUGGUACAUACAUUGAUUAAUGUCUAAAAUCUCAGCAUUUCUUGAAAUCAAUAUGUAUACAGGCAAUAAUCAUCAUUAUUAUUAUUUUAUUUUAAAAAAUAAAUAUGUUUAAUAAUAUUUUUUAUUUUUCUUAUUUAAUCUAAAAAAUUAAAUAUUAUCUUUAAUAAUAUGUUUUUAUUAAAUAUUUAAAGUCUGAUUGGUUUUAUUUUUUAAUUAUUUCUUGAUUUUAUGAUAAUAUACAGGUAAUGUGCAACGGUCGUCACCCGUAUCGUAUUUCCCCCAUUCGUGGUGAGAUGCCAAAUUGGAUGAGCUGCAGUGGAGAAGGAUGUUCAUUGUCAUUCCAUAUACCUUCAGUCUUCCAAGGCUUAGUUGUUUGGUUUAUCUGUCCACUUGAACCCGUGACAAUUGAAUUCGAUUCUCGCAUUAUUAUUAUUAUAAGAAAUAAAAGCAAUGGUAUUCAAUUGUUUGAAGAUAAACGAACACCAGGAACUGACAUGUUUUUUAUUGAGGGAUUCAUAAGAUACAUAAGUAUAAGUGAAAUGGGAAUGGAAGAUUACUGUGGAGAUGACGAAUUGGAACUCUGCAUUUAUUCAGAGCCAACAGAGCAUGCGGUGCGCCGUCUUCCAUUCUACCCCGUACACAUUAAAGAAUGUGGGGCCCAUGUGAUCGCAAAGAAGUUAAAUUCAUUUGAAGAGUCGGCAAUGGGAAGAGCUACAGUGAUGCCUUCACCAUCGCUGUAUCAUCUGCUUCCUCAUCCCCAUUGUGGUUCAAUUACAGCAUCUACACCUAAGCAAUGGAGUAAUUAUUUAUUUGCGAAGCUGCAAGAAUAUAACCUCAGUUUAACAUUUCAUGGUAAGAACAAAUAUUUCCUUUAGUUAUUUUUAUUCUAUUAUAUUUAAUUUAUGAGAUUAAAUAUUAUCUUUAAUUAUUUCAUUAUUAUUAUUUAAUCUAAAACAUUAAAUAUCAUCUUUAAUUAAAAAAUAUAUAUAUAUUUAAGGCUUUUUGGUAAGAAUACAUAUUUCCUUUAGUUAUUUCUAUUUAAUUUAAGAGAUUAAAUAUCAUCUUUAAUUGUUACAAUAUUUUUCUUAUUUAAUCUAAAAUUUUAAAUAUUUUCUUUAACAAUAUUUUUUAUUAAAUAUUUAGAGUCUACUUGGUUUUAUUUUUUUUCUUGAUUUUAUGAUAAUAUUUUUCUUAUUUAGUAUAAAAAAUAAAUAUUAUCUUUAAUAAUUAGAUCUAUCGAAUAUCACUUAAAAAAUAAAUUAUAACUUUAAUAAUUAUUUUUUGAAAAACAAAAAGCCAACAAUCACUAACAUAUUUUAUUAAAAUCACUUUAGUUUAUUUAGAAAAUAUUGAAAAUUGAUUAUUUUUUUUACAUUAAAAUAAAAAAAUUAAAAAAUGUUUUUAUAUUUUAUUUCAAAGUCGAUAUUUUAAAACAAAAAUGAAAAAGAUGUGAUAUUAACCUUUUUUAUUAUAAAGUAAGUUUUUUAAUUAAAAGUGAUGAGAAUUUGUUCGUAAUAACAAAAUGCAUGUUUAAUUUUCUUUUCAAACUUGGAAUAUAUUUCUAUUGAAUUUGAUGGUUUUUUUAUCUUAAAACACUUGCCAGCAAUCUUGUUUUUUCAAUGCUGCCAUUUAGCAAGUGGAGUACUGUAGCUUUUCCACAUACAUUGAAUAAUAACAGUUUGAAUAAAUAACAAGAAAAUAGAAAUUAGUUUUAUUAAUUUGAACGGUACAUCAUUCAUCGAAUAAAUUACAAAAAAGUAUUAUUGAGAUACUAUUUUUUUCAGUUUCUAUUGCACCAAAAUAAACACAUAUAUUUGUCACAUAUAUUAAUUAAUAUCAAAAAUCUCUGUAUUCCUUGAAAUCAAUAUGUAUACAAGUAAUAAUCAUUAUUAUUUUAUUUUAUUUUAAAAAAUAAAUAUCAUAUUAAAUAAUAUUUUUUAUUUUUCUUAUUUAAUUUAAAAAAUUAAAUAUUAUCUUUAAUAAUAUUUUUUAUUAAAUAUUUAAAGUCUGAUUGGUUUUAUUCUUUAUUUCUUGAUUUUAUGAUAAUAUAUUUAUACAGGCAAUGUGCAACGGUCGUCACCCGUAACGUAUUGCUUCAUUUCGUGGUGAGAUGCCAAAUUGGAUGAGCUACGGUGGAGAAGGAUGCUCCUUGUCAUUCCAUAUACCUCCAGUCUUCCAAGGCUUAGUUGUUUGGUUUGUCUAUCCACUUGAGAAGGAUUGUCAUAACCUAUUUUUAGGUUAUUUUUCAAUAUAUAUAUUUUUUUUUCUUCAAAAAAAUUACAAAAAAAAUCUAAAAAUAUUAUAAAAAAUAUAACAGUAAAAAGAGGAUGUCAGAACGCUCAGAAAAUAGUUAAAAUUUGGUUGAGGAGGUUUAAAAAUAUAAAAAUUAAAAUUUGGUAGUAUUUUAUUAACUGAUGAUAGCCCUGUUGACAAAGAAAAUUCAAUUUGAGAAAAAAAAAGUCUAAAAUCAGAUGUUGAGGGACUCAAUUAAAUUAUAUUGAAAGUUUAAUUGAAUUUAUGGAGGGUUUGAUUGUAAGAAAAAUUGAUUUUGGAGUUAAUUUGGGCUUUAAUUGGAAGAAAUUAAAGUUCUGGGGUCAGAUUAUAUUUUUUUUUAGAGUUGAUUUGGUCAAAUUGGGGGCUUAAUUGCAUAAAUAUUAAAGUUUGAUGGCCAAUCGGGGACUUAAUUGAAGAAAUCUGAGACCAAGGACCAAAAUGCAAAACGCGCGCAAAUUGAAGGAUUGAAUUGAAAUCUAGCGCUUUGGCUCCAAUUUUCAUUUAAAUGAAACAGUGCGUUUUAAGCAAAACGACGUCGUUUCAUGCACUUUCCAAAAAAAAAAAAGAGGACGAAACGGUGCCGUUUUGAGGCGGCACUGUUUCUUCUUCUUCUUCCCCUGGACAUGCAGCAGGGGAAGAGGCGUUUUUGUUUUCUUCUCUUUGUUUCUUCCUCUCCCUCCCCAUGUGCUCUGUUACAACCAAAACCGGUCGCCACUUGCCUCAUGAUGAGAUGCCAAAGCAGUCGUGCCCCGCAAGCGACGCCUCCAUUGGCCACCUCUGUCGGCGCCGUGACAGAGCAGGAGACGUGCGACGCAUGCAUGGGCAACGAUGGGACGGGGCAGGGUCGACCCCGCUCCCCUUGCCCCUAUAAAUAGUGACCCGAAAGGAGAAAAAAAGGAACACGGGAGAAAACAGGGAGGGAAACCGAGAGAGAGAAAUCGAUAGUGUUGAGAGAGAAAUGACUGAAACAGUAGAAACCAAAAAAACCGGGGAUAUCGAUAGGGAGACCGAGAGAGACAGACGGGGAGAAGGAAGAAAAAGGACAAAAGAGGUAAACCGAUGGGGAAGAAGACACUGACUGGUGUCUCUACACAGCGGAGAAGAAGCGCCGCUGCUGGCAUUGGGCUUCACAGUCACCGCCACCGCAACACCACCGAGAACGUUCACCAGCAUCACCGUCAGCUCAGCCAUCCGAGAUCACCACCUCAGGUAAAUUCUCUUCCCCUCACGCCGAUAAUUAUUCAUCUUCUUGCUUGUAGAACGUGCACUGUGCACGUUCUGCAUGCAAGAAGAAAUAAUUAGUCGGUUACCGUGCAUGCGCACAGUAACCGGCUAAUUAAUUAACUAGUUACUGUGCUCAUGCAUAGUAACUAGUCAUUGGUUUCUUCUUCUGCGAGUUGGAACAUCAGCCCAGCCCACGCGACUGGGCUGAGUCCAACCCCCUUUUUUUUAUGCGGGCUGGAACAUCAGCCCAGCCCACGCGGCUGGGCUGAGUCCAGCCCUGUUAACUGCGGCCUGGAACAUCAACCCAGCCCAUGCAGCUGGGCUGAGUCCAGCCUUGUUGCUGGGCCAAUACAGGCCCAACCCAGUUCAUUUCAUUUUUUCUUUUUUCCUUUUUGUUUUGUGUUUUAUAUAUAUAUAUUGUGAUUUUCCCACGGAUUUUUCUACGUCAUUUUAACUAAUAUUGGUCUAUAUUUUUUACUCGGUUUUCAAAAAAAAAAACUUUUGCUUUCAUGCAUACGGCCAAGUCUCUCAAAGCUAAAAAAUCAUAUUGUAUUUUUAUACAACAAAGAAAACUAAAAAAAUAUAUAUUAUUUUAGCAUGCAUUUUAGCUUUAAUAACCAGUUUAUUAAAGUCAUGAUAACUUGGCCAAUAUUUCAAAAAAUCAAAAAAAAUAUUUUGUUUUGUUUUAAUGUCUGGGAUUACGAAUUUAUACGUAAAACGUAUUCCCGAUAUUAAAAAGGUAGUUCUUUUAUAGACAUUAGGCCGGUUAGAUUUUUACCCCAUAAGAUAAGAACCUCCUUACUGAGGAGGGCUUUUCUUGAACCCUAGACAGACCAACAUGAUAAGACCUUAGAUUUUUUAUUAGACAAUAAAACAAUGCAGCUUACCUUAGGUAGGGUGUAUUUGAGGUGCUAAUACCUUCCCUUUGCGCAACCAGUCUCCGUACCCGAUCUCUAAGACCAGUUAGGGUUCCUAGUGAUCAGAAUACUAGGUGGCGACUCUCAUUCCAUUUUUUCACCGCUAAGAGACAAAGAAUUCCUUGUUUUACCAUAUUUUCCAGAAUAGAUAGACAUACCACAUUUGAUGAUGAGGGUGGUGGAUGAUCGCCGCACACGUGCGAUAGAAUGGUGACUCCACUGGGGACCCAUCAAAUCAAUCAACAGAAAAAAAAAUCACCAAGCCGAUGCCGCGCGGGUGACAUGCGACAAGGAUGAUCAUUAUUACUCACGGUCUGGCACUAUUAUUAUUAUUAUUAUUAUUAUUAUUAUUAUAAGAAAUAAAAGCAAUGGUAUUCAAUUGAUUAAAGAUAAACGAAUAGUAGGACCUUUCCUACCAAAAACUGCGGGAUGGAUAAGAUACAUAAGUAGAAGUGAAAUGGAAAAUGGAAGAUUACUGUGGAGAUGACGAAUUGGAACUAUACGUAUAUUCAGAGCCAAGAGGAGAUACAGUGCGCAUCAUUAAAAAAUGUGGGGUUCAUGUGAUCGCAGGGAAGUUAGAUUCAUUUGAAGAGUCGGAAGUGGAAAGAGAUAUAAUGAUGCCUUCACCACCGUUGUAUCAUCUGCUUCCUCAUCUCCAUUGUGGUUCAAUUACAGCGUCUACACCUAAGCAAUGGAGUGACUAUUUAUUUGCGAAGCUGAGUAAAUAUAACCUCAGUUGAACGCUUCAUGGUAAGAACAAAUAUUUCAUUUAGUUAUUUCUAUUUUAUUCUAUUUAAUUUAAGAGAUUAAAUAUUACCUUUAAUUAUUUCAUUAUUAUUAUUUAAUCUAAGAAAUUAAAUAUCAUCUUUAAUAAAAAAAAUUAUUAAAUAUUUAAGGCUUUUUGCUAAGAAUACAUGUUUCCUUCAGUUAUUUCUAUUUUAUUCUAUUUAAUUUAAGAUAUUAAAUAUAAUCUUUAAUUAUUUUAUUUUUCUUAUUUAAUUAAUCUAAAAAAUUAAAUAUGUUCUUUAAUAAUAUUUUUUAAAAAAUAUUUAGAGUCUGAUUGGUUUUAUUUUUUAUUUCUUGAUUUUAUAAUAAUAUUUUUCUUAUUUAAUUUAAAAAAUAAAUAUUAUCUUUAAUAAUUAGAUCUAUCAAAUAUCACGUAAUUAAUUAUAUCAUUAUUUUAUUGGUAGCAACUUAGGAGUCUUUUAAGCCAAAAGAAUAAUAGCUAGGAAGAGCUAAAAUUAGCAAGGAAUAUUUAGAGUCUGUUUGAUUUUAUUGUUUUUCUUUGAUUUCUUAAUAAAAAAAAUCAAAUUCUUGAAAACAAAAAUUGAAAACUUAUACGUUUUGAUUUUGAUUUUAUUUUUGAAAAUGAAAAGCCACCAAUCAAUAGCAUAAUCUAUUAAAAUCACUUUGUUUUAUUUAGAAAAUAUUGAAAACUGAUUUUUUUUACAUUAAAAUAAAAAAUUGAACAAUAUUUUUAUAUUUUAUUUCAAAUUUGAUAUUUUAAAACAAAAAUGAAAACGAUGUGAUAUUAACCUUUUUUUUAUUAUAAAGUAAGUUUCUUAAUUAAAAGUGAAGGUGAUUUGUUUGUAAUAACAAAAUGCAUAUACAAUCAUGCAAAAGUUGUAUUUAAUCAACUCUGCUAUUGAAUUUAAUGGUUUUUUAGGGAACAAAUGAUAUGGAUGAAUGUGAGAGCACAAGAUCAUUUUACAAAGAGAUUGAUUGGUACUUAAAAAUAUAUUUUUAUUAAGGUUUUAUAUCAUCAUAUUGCAUUUAAAGUAUAAUUAAAUUCUCUAAUUUAAGCAUAUUUUAUAAUAACAAGUCUGAUAACAUAAAAUAUAUUUAAUUUAUGGUAAAUGCUCAUUUUGAAUGCAGGCAUAUCUCACAAUUUAAAGGAUUGAUUGAUGUGUUUAACUAUUAAAAGUGAAAAGACAAAAAGAAGGCUAAGCUUAAAGAAGAAAUGUUGGUUCAAUUCAAACUGGAAUAUCAUUAUGUUAUUGAAUCAUAACUAUAGCUAUAGAACAUGGAUUUAGGUUUGGUUUAUAUGGAUGGAAAGCUAAGACAUAGGCCUAAAACUUUCAUGAAGAGUUCAAGAUUCAAAACGGCCCUUUUCAAGUUCAAAUUAUAGCAACAAAAGAGAAGUCGAAAUAUGACUUGUAACCUAGACACUGUUCAGUGUUCAGCCCAUAUCUCGAGUUCUAGAAGUUCAAAUAAUCUCAUUCUUGUUUUGUUGGAAAACUGAGACAAAUGCCCAGAAGUUUCAUGAAGACUAUCUGUUCAAAUUUUGAUGUUAGCAUGUUGUGUUCAGACAAGAAGAUAAUGGUUGUCACCAAGUCAAUAGGUGGCCACCCACUUAAUAAUUAGUCAUUAAAUCAAUAGUUCUGAAUUUUGGACUCUAAAAGAAGGCAUUUGCCAUACAUUUAGACAUCUUGGUGUUCAGAUCAAGAUCUUGCUCUCACUCUCUCUAUUUGUAUUUUGUAAUGUUCAAGUUUUAUUUUAUGUUAUAUUAAUCUCUUAUUUAUGCUUUUCAUUUCUUUUACUAUACUUAGUUAACUUAUAUCAUGUUUAUGUUAUUAUGUUGUUUAUUUAUGUUUUUCUUCUUCAUGAUGUUUAUCUAAGUUAAUUUUGUCAAGGUGAAAAGGGUACACUAAUGGUGUAAGAAUAAGUAUAAUACAAACUCCACAUAGACUUUAAUGUUUAAUACUAACAUGUUUUGUAUUUGUUAUCUUACUCACUCUUUAUACCUUACUUGUUAAAUGGUUAAUCUAAAUUUAUGUUGUACAACCCUUGGCAUAACAAAUACUUGACACUUUCAUAACCUACUGUAUGGUAUAAUCAACACUUGUGCUAUGAAAGGAACUUGAUUUAUUGUUAACAUAAAUUAUCAUCAUGAAUACCUGACCACAUUUACAAGUAUUGGCAUUACUCAAAUAAGAUAAUUAAUAUAAUCAUGUAUGUGGUUUCUAGUUGAGUAAUAAAAAGAGUUUAUACUAUACUUAUUUGAAAUACCUCUAACUUUAACAAUUGUUUUAUCCUUGUUUAAUCCUUACAUCAAUAUCACAUUUCAAAAGUUCUCUUCAACUCCUUUUUAAUUGUUGUUUAUAAUUUUAUAUAAUUCAUCUCCCUGUGUUUCAACCCCGGUCUUGCCGGGUUAUUUAUUACUUUGACACUCCUGCACUUGAUAUAAGACAUCAAUCUCUUGAUCGUGUUAGAGAUGCUUGAAGUUACUCUUUAUUGGUAUGGUAGUUGUUUCUAACGAGUUGAUAAGUAUUUGUUAGCUUGAAGAUUAUUUUCCAAACUUGGAAGUUAUAUUGAAUGCUUUUUGAAAUCUUUUCCAUCCGAUUUGAAAUUGGACAACCUAAUUGUUAUUAUCCAUUAUGUAAUUUAUAUUUUCAAGUUUCAACUUUUGAUGAAUAUUGUAUUGAAUGCUCUUUGAAAUCUUUUCCAUCCGAUUUGAAAUUGAAAAACCUAGUUGUUAUUAUCCAUGACGUAAUUUAUAUUUUCAAGUUACAACUUUUGAUGAAUAUUGUUUCCUUUUUUUCUCACUUCUUGGAAGUAUUCUCAAAAAGAUGAAAAUCCUCGAUCUUAGUUAUAAAUAAAUUGGUUUUCUAGGAAGAGAUUAUUAGGUGGGAUAUAUUAUUUGAGUUGGUUCUUCAUCAUUUAAUGUUAUGAUUUAAGAUAAUUGAUGAAAACUACCAAUACACAAGAAUGUUUAGAAAGCAUCUUUAAUUGGUCUAAUAAGUAAAGUCUUGUUAGUUUUGGCCAUAAGCUAUGUAUUAUUGCUUGUUUUUUACUAUUUUUUUACCUUUUUUGUUUUUUGUAUAUACAACUUUUGUUUUUCUUGCGAGUUUCUCAUUAGCUUUAUGGCACUAACAUCAAUUAAUAAUAAAUCUUGGACUAUUAUUAAAUAAAAAAAAACAUAAACAUUGUUAAAACACCAAACUUGCAUAGUUCAAACCUAGAGAAACCCUAUGCCAAUAAUCUAAUUUAAAAAAAUAAUUAAUUUAUCCUUGUAGUCUUAGAAAAUAGUAUUUAAUCCUUAUGUUUUUACAUUUAUCUUUGAUUUAACCUUUUACAUCUAUUUCAUCUUAUUAUUUUGGUUUACUAAGUAAAGUCUUAGAAACCUAUUUAUGGUCUUAAACAACUUAAAAAGGCUCAAAAACCUAAAAUGAACUCAAACCUGAAAAUCUUCAUGCUGAGAGGUCUGUUUCAUCAAGCAAGGAAAAAGAAAAAAAAAACAUAGGUGAAACUUCCCUCAUCAAAUAAAAUCCAAUGACACUAGGAUUGACUAUUUUGGUGGCUAGAAUAGAAGUCAACGAUAACAUUUUCUUUCCACGUCGGAAUCUAGCAAGUUUCUCUCUUCUCUCACAAAAAAAAACUAAAAAAUAAGGAAAAUAAAGUUUGGUAUUAAAAUCAAAUUUCCGACAACUAAAGAGACCAAUCACCUAUUAACUAAAAACAAUUGGGGACCGAACUAAGUUUUUCAUAUGAAAUAUGAAGUUGACAUCUAUUUUCUCCAUGUUUUUUACUUUGGUUAUCUAUCUUUCAAUCCAACCCUUUCUUCAUAAAAAUAGAAGUAACUUUGUAUUAAUUUGGACUAAAAAAGGUACAAUAGUGCAAAAACAAAUUGAGGAUCAAAUUGAGAAUUAAAAAAUAAUUGAUUAUUUUAAUCUAUAAUGAUAUGUGAGAGAGUGCACAUUAUAAAGUGAAGAGAAAAAACUCCACAUGACUUUGAAACACCUUUGAUGGUUGAUUGAAAUUGGUAAGUGAGUUUCCUCACAUGUUGUUUUUUCGGUUUUGAGUCCAAAUAUGGAGAUUUUAUGAUUUAAGGUAUUUUUCAUGAAUGCAACCCUUCAUGUAUUCAAUAACUUAUUUUCUAGUAUAAACUACGUUUGAAAUAAAAUUGAUAAAAGACAUGUGGUACACAAUUAAUGAUGGCAUGUAUAUAAAAAUAAUUAAAUUGAAAAUUUUCAAUUAUCUUUAAAGAUAUCAUGGUUUUAGUCGGUUAAAUUAUAAAAAAAAUAUUUAAUUUUUUGAUAUAAAUAAUAAUAACAAAUUAGAUAAUAGUAACAAGAAAAUAGGAAUUAGUUUGAAUAAAUGGUACCAGUUCCUAUUAUGAUAUAUCUAGAGAAGAAGUUUGAAGAAUAAAAUGAAGUGAAAUAUUCUUAAUAAAAAAAGAAAAACACAAAAAGAAAUAAAAAAAUAUUCUUAAUAAAUAUAAAAGAUGGGUGAAAUUAGAGAACAAGAAAGAGAUAUAGAAUCUCUUUGUAAGAUUUCUAAAAACUUAAUUACAAUUAUAUUAUAAUUUCUUCCCUAAAAUUAUUUAAAAUAUAGUAUUAGAAUUACAUAAUGCUAGGUUUUAAUAUAUAAUUAAAGAGUUUCUCCUUAACCAAAUAUAAAAAUAUUUUAUAAUUCUUUUGAAUGAAUUAUUAACGGAGGGACUGUUUUGGGUCCCUAUUUAGCUGAUUUUAUUUGAAUAUAUUAUUUGACUAGUCCAUUUAUAGGUUUACUCUACUAUUCUUGCCUUACUGGAACCGGAAAAUUCACUCGAAAUUUCUAGUAGUUUACACAGAAAUUUCCUGUGCUAAACUUCAAAGAAUUUCUUUUCUUUUCAUUUUGUAUUUUCUCAUUUUCUUGGCAUGCGCGCAGCUGCAUCAAGGAAAAAACGUUUCAGAUGCGUGUAAUAAAUCCAAUCGAUGAAUGAGAAAGGGACGCAAAAUAAAGAUAAAAGUGGAAUAUUCUCAUUAAUUGGUCAUCAUUUAAACGUUGGACACAGCCAUCUAUAUGUUGUUUAAAGAAUUUAAAUGGUUAGUCAGAAAGGAUUGCUUUUUAAUUAAAAAUAUAUUAAAAUAAUAUUUUUAAUGCCAAGUAUUUGUUCAACCUCAUUAAUGCUAACGAGUGGACCCAGUUGUUGUGGAAACUUUGCUAGGGAUCUGGAGUGUCAUAAUCCAAAAUUAUUCCUUAAAAUUUAUAUUUUUUCAAAAUAAAAAUCAAAAAAAUAAAAUAAAGGCUGGCAACGUGGAGAAAGCAGGCCGGAAAAUCAAGCUGUAAUUUUUGGAGGAAAUUCAAGGCGUAAUUGUACCCCACUAUGCCCCAAAAUAGAGAGAAAAUAUAAAUUCAAGGUCAAAUUAAAUGAUUAUUUGACAAAUUUGCAUAAACAUUAAGUCCGAUGACAUAAUUAAAUUUUUAAUAGGCCAAUUUGAUUUAAUCACGGGCCAAAUUAAAUUUUAAUUAUGUUUAAGAAUUAAUUUGCGUCCAAUUGAAGGAUUUAAUUAAGUGCAAGGACUUAAUUAUACUUUAAAUGGGUCAAAUUAAUUUUAUUUUGGGCUUAAUUGGUGAAAACUUAAGUUUGGGAGCUUAAUUGAGAAGAUUGGAAUUUUAAGAGACCAAAUUUAAUUCUUACCAAGUUAAUUGAUUGAAAUUAGGGGCCCAAUUGCAAGAACAUUGAAGUUUUGGGGUCAAUUGGGGGUUAAAUUGAAGAAAUUGACAGCUAAGGACCACUCUGCAAAAGGCGAAAACAUUUGGGGACUUAAUUGACAACCACCGGGGCAAAAUUGAAGAAAUUGAAAGUAUAAUGGUCAAUUAGAGGUUAAUUUGACAAAAUUCGAGACCAAGGACCAUAUUGCAAUAGGCGCGUAACUUUGGGGUUUCAAUUGAAGUUUAUCAGGGGCUUAAUUGCAUUAAAUCCAAAGUUAAGGGUUAAUUAGGGGUUCAAUUGAAACCAAUUGAAAGAUGGAGGACUAAGAUGAAAAUAUGUUAAAAUCCCUAAUUCAACUCAAAAUGGCGCCGUUUUAUAUUAAAAAAGAGAGAGAGAGAGGGGACCAGACGACGCGUUGUCGGGUCACUGUUCAUUGUCUUCUUCUUUUACCCGAAAGAAACUGCUUGGGAGCCUUAUUUGCAGGUGCAUUUAAUGCUUGAUUUCUCCAUAAAAUUGAACAAAACUUGCACGAAAAGGAUCCCCUGCAAUUCCUCUACAAACCCAUGUGAACUUUUCAGGAUUAAUGACAGCACAGCUACGCCGGAGAUGGCGUGAAGAGGUCAACUCAGGCAGCCUUUUCCUGCAGAUUUGACAACUCAGGGAGGCUACUUUGAGCCAACAGUUGGGAUCCUUCCCAACAGAAUCAAGAGCUAAAAUUUUACCCCAGUGCAAAAGAGAUUACCCUCUUCGACCGCCUAUAAAUAGAGGCUGAUUUGAUGGCCUGAGGGAGGAAAAAAAAUCGGGUCCAAAAUUUGAAAAAAACAAGCUCCCACUGCCCCCGUUUCUGCAAUUUCUCUCUCUCUCUCCGUCGCUUCAACCACCACCAACCUCAUCACCAGCUUCUCCACCACCAGCUCCAUCACAGUAAGCCACCAACCGACCACCGAGAGCCACCGUGAACCUUUCUCUCUCCUCUGCAAACCGGUUUCUUCUUUCUCCCACAGCGACUCCACCGGCCAAAACUCUCCACCAACGCCGCCAUCAGCCUCUUUUCUUCCACGACCAGACCACCGCCAACUUCACGCCAGGCCAGAGACAGCAGCUUCUUCUCCUCCGCAAGGUCGCCUCCCACUUCACUCCGCCGUCUGCGCAAAGUUGCAUGCAGAACAUGAACUUACUGUUCACGUUCUACAAUUAAUUCAUCCCUCACUUGGGCCGGGCCAUAAAUGUUUGGCUGGGUCUGGCCCGGCCUCAAAAGAAAAGGAGAAAGAAAAUAUGUUGGGCCGAUAUCGGCCCAACCUUUUUGGACCGAGAUCGGCCCAACUGUUUCUGGGUUUCUGCUUGGUCCAGUUACUUGGGCCAUCCCGGCCCACCUGUUUUAAUAAUAUUUAAUUAAUAUAUUAUAUUAUAUUAUAUAUUUCCUUUUAAAAAAAACAAAAAAAUCCAAAAAAAAUUUCAAAAAUCAUUUUUAAAAAAUUACGAUUUUCUCAAAUAUUUUUCUACCACUUUUGUAUAAUAUCGGGUUGUAUAUUUACACUGUAAAAUACAAACCUGGUAUUAAAAUACCCGGUUUUCUCCUAAAUAUUUCAAAAACAAAAUUCAAAACAUUUUCAAAGAGAAAAAAAAUAUUUUGUUGCAUACGGCCAAAUCUUAAAAUUUUUCCAAGCAUAUUUUUCAAUAAAAAAACAAAAAUUGCAUCUUUCUCCAGUUUUGAAAAUAAAAAAAAUGGAUAUCAUAACCAGUUUGUGAAUAUCCAUUAGAAUUUGGCCAACAUGUCAAAACCUUUUUCCAAUCUUUUUAGGGUUCAGAUGCAGACUUUAGUAUUUGUGGAGUGUAAAAUUACACGAUAAAGUACACCCUCAGGUAUUAAAGAUACAAGGUGUAAAUAAAUGCGAUGCUAAAAUUCAGACUUUAGAAUGGUUAGGAUUUAACCUGAUAAAGUAAAGACUUUCUCAUGAAGAGAGAUCUGCCUUAAACCUUAAAAAAGACCAACGAAUAGAAACCCGAUUUAGAAAAAAACAAUCAAACAACAAUGUAGCUUACCUUAGGUAGGGUGCACUGGGGGUGAUGCGUCUUCCCCUUGCACAACCAGUCUCUUACCCAGACUCUCGCAGACCAUAGGUUUCUAGUGAUCAUAAUACUAGGUGGCGACUCCUAAACAUUAAUCAUAAUUUUAUAAUUAAAUCCAAAAAACCUUCCCAACACACAACACCUCACACAGGAGGCACGACAAGAAGCCUUUGCCGUCGCCAGACGACGUCGCGCCCCUUGCGACAUGGAGGAAGAAAAAUGAUUGCAUUGCUAAUAAUUUGCAAGAGAGAAUUCUUUUUCUGAAUAGAAAAAACUAUUAUUUUUAAAAUAAAAACAACUAAAUAGAAAAAUUAUUAUUUUUUAAAUAGAAAAACUAGAAAAGCCUUGUAAUAUUGAAUAAAAAAUAAAAUAGAAAAAUUAUUCUUUUAAAGUAGAAAAAAUUAUGACAAUUUAAUAAUACUGAAUAGAAAUAAAUCAAAUUUUUAAACUAAAUAAAAAUAAUAGAGAAAAAUAUUUAUUAUCCUAAACUUUUUUAUAUUAAAAUCUUAAUUUAUAACAUGAACUGAGUCUACAUGCUAAAAUUAGAAGAACAAAAAAAAAAUGUAACAAAAAAAUUCCAUACAACACAAUUAAUGAUGGGAUCAUAUAUUUUGAGACUAAAAUGAGGUUUUCGAAUUACCUUUAAACAUAACAUAACAUGAUUUUAAUAGAUGUACUGUACAUCAUUUGAAUUUAUUAGAAAAAACAUAUAAUGUAAAGUAUGAACCACUUACCAUUAACUAGAUUUUUCAAUUGGAUUUUUUAUUUAAAUGAAAAGGAAAAUUUAUUUUAUUAUGAAAAAUAUUUUUUAUAUAUAUCUAGUAAUAAUAAAUUAAAGGAUAAUAACAAGAAAAUAACAAUUAGAUCGAAUAAAUGGUACCAAUUUCUAUUCUGAUAUAUCUAGCCAAAGAAUAGAAUGAAUCAAAAUAUUCUUAAUAAAAAAAAUAGAAAACACAGAAAGAAAUAAAAAAAUGUUCUUAAUUAAUAUAAAACUAUUAAUUUACAAAAGAAAUUUUCUGGUACUUUAUACUGUAUAUAAUUUGAAAAAUUGUGACUGACCGACUUACUUGCAAAGUAUUUGCAAGAAAGUUAAAGAAUUAGAGUUUUUUAAUAUUCAAAAUUAUAAUUUUAAAUUCUACGAAAAAAAUCAAUUAUUUUUAAAACUGUUUUCAAAAAUAAAACAUCAACUAUUUAUAUAAUAGCUAAAUAAAACAAUUAAAAUAAAUAAAAAAAUAACUAGUAAAAUCAAGUGAAUAAUCCAAAAAUAACAAGAAAAUAGAGAUAUUUCCUAAAUAUGAUUUCAGUUUGUUGUAUUGAUCAAUUUGCUAACAUAAAUAGCAUAAACGAACUUUAUUCUAAUAGUAUGUUUGAUAUUUAAAAAAAAAAAAAACUUAUAGAUAUUAUAUGGGUUGGCAACCCAUUUUUUAUUAAAUUUUAAAUUUUAUUUGUUUAAAAAUAUUUGUUUAUGUUUUUUAAUUAUUUUAAUAUGAUAAUAUCAAAAAUAAAUAAAUAAAAUUUUUCUAAGUUUUACUACUUCUGACUUGCUUUGACUCGAAAUUAGUGGUGCUUUCUCCUGCGAAUGAAUAGAAAGCAUAUCAUAAAGGUGUGUUUGACAUUGUGUUUUGGAAGUAUUUUUUAAAAAAAUAAAUUUUUUUAUUUUUUUUCUUCAAAUUAUUUUUUUUGUUGAUGUUUUCAUAUUAUUUUGAUAUGCUGAUGUCACAAAUAAUUUUUAAAAAAUAAAAAAAUAUAUUAUUUUGAUGUGUUUUGAAAUGAAAAAACUUUAAAAAGCAACCGCUACCACACUCUCAAACUCCUUUGUUUAUUGAGUCUUACUGUGAAACCUCGUUUUGGGAUGAAUUGAUUGUAAGAAUAAGAAAUUAUGUGCAAAUUAUACAAAAUUUAUUAUUCAUCAUCAAGAUUUAUUAUUUAUUAUCACUAUUGAAUAAUGAUUUAUUUUAUAAUAUAAAUUAUGUUUAAAAUAAAAUUGAUAAAAUUAAAAUACAUGAAACGAGGUCGUAUAUUUUGAAACUAAAUUAAAAUUAUUUUCUUUUUCAAUGAUAUCAUUUGUUAGUUUGCAAGUCCACAUGUCACGAGUCUCCACUGCAUGAAAUUUGCAAAAUCAUAUGGCCCAUUGAUAGAAGGUGUGUUGAAGCAAAAUCUGUUUUAUUGAUUAUCAAUAUUGAAUAAUAGCUUAUUUUCUAGUAGAAACUAUGUUUGAAAUAAAAUUGAUAAAAGACAUGAUAUACAAUUAAUAAUAGGAUCGUAUAUAAAAAUAGGAAAUUUCCUGGUAAUAAAGUCCCAACUUUCGUAGGCGAGCACUAAAGUCCCAAACUUCAAGAAUUUCUCUUCUUUUCCUUUUGUAUCUUCUCAUUUUCUUGGCAUGCGCGCAGCUGCCUCGAGGAAAAAACGUUUCAGAUUCGGAAAAUAAAGAUAAAUGUGGAAAAAAAAAAUCCCAAAUAAAGAUAUCUUUUCGUCCCUUGGUGUCGUGUGAAUACCAUGUGGAUAUCAUUUCAGAAAAUCAAUUCAACCGUUCUCCAAAGAACACUCAUACUCCAAUAUCAGCAACUACCACGAAAGUUACCACUCUAAAUUCCAGCUCAAUAAUUAAGGUUCCAAGAUAAGCCUAAAAAAUAUUUAUUAGGCUUAUCUUAAAGCCUAAUAAAUAUCUAAAAAAAAACAAAAAAACAAAAUUCCACCCUAGGCUGUGAUUAACAGAUUAUCUGAUGGAAACAUGAUGAGCUUUUUUUUAGUGAAUUAAGUUCAAUUAAAAAAAAAUUAAGGUUAAAUUGAUGAUUAAUAAUGAAUUUUGUAUACUUUGCACAGGAUUUUCUUAUUCUCGUCAAUUAAUCUUAAAGCGAGGUUCCAAGAUAAGCCUAAAAAAUAUUUAUUAUUGAUCAACAAUAUUGAAUAAUGGCUUAUUUUCUAGUAUAAAUUAUGUUUGAAAUAAAAUUGAUCAUAAGAGUAGAUGAUAUACAAUUAAUGAUGAAAUCGUAUAUUUUGAGACUAAAUUAAGAUUUUUCAAUUAUCUUUAAAUAUUAUGGUUUUAAUAGGUGGACAAUGCAUUCUUUGAAUUUAUUACAAGUAAUGUGUAAUUUAAAUUAUAAAAAAAUAUUUAUUUUUCUGAUAUACAUGAUAAUAAUAAAUUUGAUGAUAGCAACAAGAAAAUAGAAAUUAGUUUGAAUUAGUACGUUUCUCAUUAACAUUAAUGAUGGAAUCAAAAUCUUUGUUAGCGGUCACCUGUUCGACCUCAGUAAUGUUAACGCGUGGACCCAGCUGUUGUAGAAACUUUGCAAAGGAUCUCGAGGAAGAAAAAUGAUUGCAGUGUAAGACUUAAUUACCGAUUCUAUGAUGGGGAAUAAAUAUGUUUAUAACAGAAUUGUAAGUUAUAAUAUGUAAAAUUUAAUUAACGAUUCUAUUAUACGAAAUAAAUAUGUUUAUAACGUAAUCGUAAGCCUUAAUAAUAAGAAAUCAAUAUCUCCAUCUAUUAAUGUUCCUCAUGUAUUUAUUAUUCUUUUUUAUAUAUAUUUGAUACUUUCAAACUCUACUCACUUUAUAUAGAUUGUGUAAAACUUAAGAGAACUCAGUAAGUGAGUAUAGAGAUCAAAUAACAUUAUUUAUAGCCAAAGCUUCCCUCAAGCUUUAAUGGCUAUAUGUCCCACAUAUUUAUUAUAUCAUGGGUAGUUACAAGUGAAUCACUUUAAGAGCUUAUAAAUGUAAAUGUUACAACUUUAAAAUGAACGAUUUUAAGAGUUUAUAAAUAUAAAUAUUAUAAUUUUUAGAGUGGAUCACUUUUAGUGUGAAGGAGAGUUAGAGAAUCGAUUAUAAUGACUCUGUAAAAAACAGUCAACAUGCAUUGCUAAUAAUUUGCAACGGAGAAUUCUUUAUUGAGAUUUAUUGUUAAACCUCGCUUUGGAAUGAAUUGAUCACGAGAAUAAAAAAUAAUCACUACAUACACCCUUUAACUAUUUUACUUGAAAGUUUCGAUUAUUUCCUAAGCUCCUUUGUUCAUUUUCUUUUUUAUUACCCCUUCAUGCACGACACUUUAUGCCACUUCAUGAUACCCUUGUUUUCAACGUUUUACACUACUUUAAAAGCGUGUUUGGUAGUGUGGUUGCGGGUGCUUUUCAAAUAACUUUUCGUGUCAAAAUACAUGCCAAUGAUAUUUUUUUUAUUUUUUAAAAAUUAUUUUUGACAUCAGCACAUCAAAACGAUCCAAAACAUAUAAACCUUAUUAAAUUUUAAUUUAAAAAAUAUUCAAUUUUUUUGGGAACGCAGCCGCAUCCGCGUUCACAAACGAGUCCUCAAGUCAAUUGUUAGAUACUAAAAACAGCAAGAACUGUACUCAAUCAGCAACCACUGUGAAAUUACCACUCAAAAUCCCAUGAAUAUAUAUAAAAAAGAAUUUUGUCUAGAAAAAUUCUAUCAAAUUCUCUACUUUAUUACUCUUCAAUGUUUUACACUGCUUUAGUUCUAAAAAAACUCCUAGAUGUUAUAAAGCAAGAUAUAUACAACUAUAUAUAUAUAUAUAUAUAUAUAUAUAUAUAUGAAAGUGUAAUAAAUAUUAUAUUUUAAAGUAUUUUUUAAAUAUAUUAAAAUAAUAUUUUUUUAAAAAUAAUUUUGAUAUUAGUAUAUUAGAAUAAUAAAAAAAUAAUUUAAAACAAUAAAAAAUAUUGAAAUUUUUAAAAAAUAUGAUUUGACUGAACUCCAAAACACACGCAUGCUCCCUCAGCAGCCACCACGAAAUUACCACUCUAAAUUCCAGCUCAAUAAUUUAUUCUUUAGCAAUUAUUGCUUGCUCUUUGACAAGUACUGCUUUGCUAAUAAUUUGCAAGAAACUUUCUCAAUUUCCUUCUAUUUUCUUUUUAUCAUGGAAACUUUAAGUCACAUACCACUAAAUUACCGAUAAUUAAAUUUCAAUGUGUAAUUGUGUAGGUUUCAAUUAAAAAUGUUUUAAUUUGAGAAAAUUUGUUAAAAAAAUAGUAUAAAUUAUAUUUUAGAGUUUAUUUUAAUAGUUUAAAUUUUUAGAUGAAUAGUUUUCUAACAAAUAAAGACAUAGUUUUACGAUAAAAUGCAUUUUUUAAAAUGAAAUUAUAUUAAAUUAAGCAUGGUCGAGAUUAUUCAAAUUAUUAAUUAAUUAUAAUUAACUUUAUGUCUUUAGAGGAAACAAAAGGAAAGGACAAAAUGAUUAAUUAAAUUUUUAGAUGAAUUAAUAAAUCUUUACAAAUAAAAGAUAUAGUUUUUCAUUUUUUGAAAUGAAAUUAUAUUAAAUUAAGCAUGCUCGACAUUGUUCAAAUUAUUAAUUAAUUAUAAUUAACUUUAUGUCUUCAGAGUAAACAAAAGGGAAGGACAAAAUUAUCUUCCCCACAACGAUAAACCUAGCCCCCUUUCCAAACCAAUCCUCUAGUAAAUAGAAUGAUGGUCCCAUAAAUUGCUUUAUUCUUUCCAGCCCGCCAAGUAGUUUGGUCUCCCUCACAGGACCUCCUUAGCAUGGGAAUCAUAUGAAUUUCCUUGCUUUUCUUCCUCUACGCGUUACCUUUCACCUUUUAUAAUUAUUAUUAUUGCAUUGCUAAUAAUUUGCAAGAAAGAUUAUGAACAUUUUUUUUAGUGAAAUAAGCUCAUUUCAAAUUAACAAAAUAUAGUUUGUUGAGGCUUGUCUUGAAACCUCACUUUGGAUUAAUUGACAGGAAUAAUAAAAUUUUAUUCAAAUUAUAUAAAAUAUUAGGUGUGGAUGUGCCCUUGCCCAACAAGCUACCAUGACCUUAUCUAGAGUUGGGUGUUAACGAGACAAGCCCUUGUCCAACUCAGAGUUCGGCAUAGAUAUAUCAUGACCCAACAUAAAGUUUGGAUGCGGAAAAAAUAUAAUUUCAUUUUGAAUUAUGAUUUUUGUUGGAUAGUCUUUAAAUAAAUUUUUUUUUUAGAAAAUCAUGACCCAUAUCUGGUUAUCGGAAAAACAAUUAUGGUUGAUUUAGCCUCAUCUUCUCUGCUUGUAAAAUUGGGGCAGAUUAUGGACUUAACCGAGCAAUUACCGCUCAAAAUUCCUAGCAAUUUACAAAGGAAUUUUCCUUGCUUUUUCUCAGUAUAUUAUUAGAAAAACCGUCAUUGACUGAUUUAAUUGUAAAGUCUUUGCAAGAAAGUAAAAAAAUUAGUUUUUUAAAAUAAAAAAUAUAGAGAGAGAAAUAAAAAAUAAAAAAUAAAAAAAGGAGCGAAAGGAAACAACCGCCAUCUUUCUUGUUCCUUUUCCCUUCUUUACACGGCGUCCUCGAUGAAAAUAGCAAACACCCCAUUUGAAUAUAUAAUUAAAGAAAGAAAGAAAGAGAGGAAAAUUCCUUCCUCAAUACUUACCGCUACACGCUUCAGAAAUUCCUUGCUUUUUUUUUUUUUUUUUUCAUCUCUACUUACGUGUUACCUUUUACCUUUUAUAAUUAUGAUUAUUGCAUUGCUAAUAAUUUCCUUGCAUUUCUUUAAUAUAUAAUUAAAGAAAGAAAGAUGUUGAACACUUUUUUAGUGAAUUCAAAAUAACAAAAUAAGGUUGUUGAGGCUUUUCUUGGAACCUAGCUCAGGGAUUAAAUUAUAAAAAAAUAUAUUUAUUUUUCUGAUUAUAUAGCAAUAACAAAUUAAAUAAUAGCAACAAGUAAAUAGGAAUUAGUUUGAAUAAAUGGUACCAGUUCCUAUUAUAAUAUAUCUAGAGAAGAAGUUCGAAGAAUAGAAUGAAGUCAAAUAUCCUUACAUAAUGCUAGGUUUUAAUAUAUAAUUAAAAAGUUUUCCAUGAACCAAAUAAUAAAAAUAUUGUACAACUUUUUUGAAUGAAUUAUUAACAUAGAGGCUUAUUUGAUUUGAAUAUAUUAUUUGAUUAGUCCAUUUAUAGGUUGUCUCUAUUAUUCCUGCCUUGCAUUGCCAGGAAAUUUCACUAGAAAUUUCUAGUAAUUUAAACAGGAAAUUUGCUGGUGAUAAACCUGGAAUAUGAUUUUCAACUUUCGUAGGCGAGCACUGAAGUCCCAAACUUCAAGAAUUUCUUUUCUUUUCCUUUUGUAUCUUCUCAUUUUCUUUCUAGGAAUGUUAUGAGAAGCAGCAGAGUCAAGAGGCCAUUUUUGAUCCUGUGGACCGGAAGUAGUUGCAUAGUUAGUCGUAACCUCUGAUCAAUGGAGUCGUGGGUAAGACUUGGCUAAAUGGCCUAUCUGAUCAGGAAAUUGGCAUUUCGGUUGAUAAUGCAUUUGAGUGGUACCGAUUGGUUGAAGACUUGCAGUUGUCUUUGAAUGGACCGACCUUGAGGGAUUUUAUUGUGGCCUGGAGACCGAGAAGAUCCAUUAGUCUUAUUUGAACCCUUCGGGUGAGACCCACCAUAUGAACUAUUUAAGUUCUGUUUGUGAAGAUAAGAAUAAUUGGCAGAGGCCACAAGCUGCUGAGUUGAAGAUUCCAAACGCCGCAGGUAACUGUCAUGCCCCUCAAGAAUAUCUUGAAGCUCUUCAAAUUAUCCCAAUAGUUCUUAUAUUAAAAUCUCAUUUAUCAUAUGUUACAUCUAUCAAAAAAAAAAAAAUAAUUUGUGACGUGAACUAAAGCUAUAUGUGAAAACUAGAAAUAACAAAUGUAUGAAAAAAAAAUCAGCUGUGAUUAACAGAUUAACGAUGGAAAUUAAGAUGAUGAAUAUUUUUUUGUAAAUUAAUUUCAAUUUAAAAUAACUACAAAGAAGUUAAUUAGGAUUCCUUCCUUGAAAUUAUUAAAAAUAUAGUAUUAGAAUUAUAGAAUGCUAGGUUUUAAUAUAUAAUUUUUAAUAUUAAUUGUUAAAGAGUCUCUCUCGAACCAAAUAAUAAAGAUAUUAUAUAACUCUUUUGUAUGAAUUGUAAAUCUAGGGAUAGUUUUGGGUUUUCCAAUCACAACUUUGGACUAAAAUUAAUAACAAAAUAAAGACCAAAGAUAACGGUAUGUAAAUCUAGGGACCAAAAAUAAUACAACUGCAUUUACUGUAGAUUUCACUUAGAAUUUCUAGUAAAUUACAAAGGAAAUUUCUUGUGCUUUUUAACGUACAUGAAUUGAAAAACUACCAUUGACUGACUUGCAUUGACUGACUUGCUAAGCAUUUGCUGCUCGAAAUUUUCUCCCUAAAAAUUUUCAAGCAAUUUACGGAGCAAAUUUCCUUAUGCUCUCUCUUGUAUAUUAUUAGAAAAAUUGUUUUUAAAAAUCAAUUUUUUUUUAUUUUCCUGAGAUUCUAUUUUUUAGUCGAGUCAAUUUCAAGUUGGGUUCAAUAAUUAUGAUUAAAUUUACUGAAAAAAAAAUAAUUUUAUGUCACUUCAUGAUACCCAUGUUUUCAACGCUUUACACUGCUUUAAUAAAUUGUUACAGUAAUAGCACAGAGAGGAGCGGUUCCAGAAAAAACAAUAAUGGAGAUGAAGCAAAAUCUGUGUUUGAUUUUUUCUUUUUUGUGUUUUCGGUACAUUGGUCAACAAUAGCUUGGAAGAGUUUGGAAUCAGUAACACGUGGACCCAGUUGUUGUGGAAACUUUGCAGAGGAUCUUCACUCUGCAGGAAGAAAAAUGAUUUUAAUAGAUGUACUGUACAUCAUUUGAAUUUAUUAAAAGUAACGUGUAAUGUAAAGUAUGAUUCACUUACCAUUAACUAGUUGGACAAAAAAACUAAACUUUCUCAAUUUCCUUCUAUUUUCUUUUUAUCAUGGAAACUUUAAGUCACAUCUGCGCCUACCACGAAAUUACCGAUAAGUAAAUUUCAAUGCGUAAUUGUGUAGGUUUCAAUUAAAAAUGCUUUAAUUUGAAAAAUUAUGUUAACAAUAAUAUAAAUUAAUUUUUCUUCAAAAUAAAAAGUAAUUGGGUAUUAAUUUAGGCUAUAAAGAUAAAAUAAUAAUAAUAAAAAAGAGUUCGAGGGUAUUCAUUUUAUUAUUUGUUAUGUAACUAUAUAAUCUAAUUUGUUGAUGUGGAAAAUAGCACAAAGUUUUUGACAUGGAUAUUGGUGAGAAGCAAAAGCAGUAUCCACUAUGAGAGCUUUUGUAAACGCGUGGACCCAGUUGUUGUGGAAACUUUGCAAAGGAUCUGCAGGAAGAAAAAUGAAAUUUGCAAAGUAUUUGUGUGUAUUAUAUAAUUGUGUUAAUUUAAGGAUUAUUUUUUAGUUGUAUUAAUUUAGAAAAUAUUUUGUCUCACCGGAAAACUCUAAUUACGUUCGUAUAUUUGUUUUUGGUAACAGAUGCAAUAUGCUUUUUAAUUCAAGAUAUAUUAAAAUAAUAAUUUUUAAAAAAAAAUUAUUUUUUUUAUUUUAGUAUAUUAAAAAUAAAAAAUUUAAAAAUAGUAAUUUAAUAUUUUCUUAAAAAUAUAUUUAAAAAACACUUUUAAUUUUGUUUUUCAACUGUACUAUUCCUUGAAAAAACUCAAACUCUAAAUAAUAUCUUCUACUACAUACUUUCUAAGACUAAAAAUUAAUCUAAAUGUUUUUGAAAAGUAGUUCAACCAAAGUACCAAAUAUGUUUAUAUACUCCAUCUUCAACCACUGUAAAAUUACCACUCUAAAUUACAACUCGGUAUCGAUUACCUUUUAUCUUUGACAAUUAUUGCAUUGCUAAUAAUUUGCAAGAAAAAAUACAUUCUCAAUUUCCUUCUAUUUUUUUUUUAACAUGAAAAACUUUAAGUCACUCAAUCUGCAACCACCAUGAAAUUACCGGUCCGAAUUCCAGCUCAAUAUUUACCGGUACGACACGCUUGAGGAAUUUCCUUGCUUUUCUUCCUCUACGCGUUACCUUUCACCUUUUAUAAUUAUUAUUAUUGCAUUGCUAAUAAUUUGCAAGAAAGAUUAUGAACAUUUUUUUAGUGAAAUAAGCUCAUUUCAAAUUAACAAAAUAUAGUUUGUUGAGGCUCGUCUUGGAACCUCGCUUUGGAUUAAUUGACAGGAAUAGUAAAAUUUUAUUCAAAUUAUAUAAAAUAUUGGGUGCUGAUGUGCCUUUAUCCAACUUAGAAUUGCGACAAGCUACCAUGACCUUAUCUAGAGUUGGGUGUUAAUGAGACGAGUCCUUGCCCAACUCAGAGUUUGGCAUGGAUAUAUCAUGACCCAACAUAAAGUUUGGAUGCAGAAAAAAUAUGACUUUAUUUUGAAUUAUGAUUUUUGUUGGAUGGUCUCUAAAUAAAUUUUUUUUAUAGAAAAUCAUGACCCAUAUCUGGGUAUCGGAAAAACAAUUAUGGUUGAUUUAGCCUCAUCUUCUCUGCUUGUAAAAUUGGGGCAGAUUAUGGACUUAACCGAGCAAUUACCGCUCGAAAUUCCUAGCAAUUUACAAAGGAAUUUUCCUUGUUUUUUCUCAGUUCAUUAUUAGAAAAACUGUCAUUGACUGAUUUAAUUGUAAAGUCUUUGCAAGAAAGCUAAAAAAAUUAGAGUUUUUUAAAAUAAGAAAUAUAGAGAGAAAAAUAAAAAAUAAAAAUAAAAAAAGGAGCAAAAGGAAACAACCCCCAUCUUUCUUGUUCCUUUUCCCUUCUUUACAUGGCGUCCUCGAUGAAAAUAGCAAACACCCCAUUUGAAUAUAUAAUUAAAGAAAGAAAGAAAGAGAGGAAAAUUCCUUCCUCAAUACUUACCAGUACUACACGCUUGAGAAAUUCCUUUCUUGUUACCUUUUACCUUUUAUAAUUAUGAUUAUUGCAUUGCUAAUAAUUUCCUUGCAUUUCUUUAAUAUAUAAUUAAAGAAAGAAAGAUGUUGAACACUUUUUUAGUGAAUUCAAAAUAACAAAAUAAGGUUGUUGAGGCUUUUCUUGGAACCUCGCUCAGGGAUUAAUUAACAAGAAUAAAAAAAUCCCCUGCAAAUUAAACAAAAUUUAUUAUUAAUCAUUGAUAUUUAUUAUUGAUCAUCAAUAUUGAAUAAUGGCUUAUUUUCUAGCAUAAAUAAAAUUGUUAAAAAACAUGAUUACACAAUUAAUGAUGAGAUCGGUUAUAAAAAUGACUAAAUUGAGGUUUUUCAAUUACCUUUAAACGUAUCAUGGUUUUAAUAGGUGGACAGUACAUCCUAUUAUGUAAAUUAUAAAAAAUUAUAUUUAUUUUUCUGAUAUAUAUAGCAAUAACAAAUUAAAUAAUAGCAACAAGUAAAUAGGAAUUAGUUUGAAUAAAUGAUACCAGUUCCUAUUAUUAUAUAUCUGGAGAAGAAGUUCGAACAAUAGAAUGAAGUCAAAUAUCUUUACAUAAUGCAAGGUUUUAAUAUAUAAUUAAAAAGUUUUCCAUGAACCAAAUAAUAAAAAUAUUGUAUAACUUUUUUGAAUGAAUUAUUAACGUAGAGGCUUAUUUGAUUUGAAUAUAUUAUUUGAUUAGUCUAUUUAUAGGUUGACUCUACUAUUCCUGCCUUGCAUUGCCAGGAAAUUUCACUAGAAAUUUCUAGUAAACGAAAUUUGCUGGUGAUAAACCUGGAAUAUGAUUUUCAACUUUCGUAGGCGAGCACUAAAGUCCCAAACUUCAAGAAUUUCUUUUCUUUUCCUUUUGUAUCUUCUCAUUUUCUUGGCAUGCGCGCAGCUGCCUCGAGGAAAAAACGUUUCAGAUGCGGAAAAUAAAGAUGAAAGUGGAAAAUAGAAGCGGGGAAAAAAAUCCCAAAUAUCGACAAACAUCACAAGAGAAGCUUGAUAUCUCUUCGUCCCUUGGUAUCGUGUGAAUGUGGAUAUUAUUUCAGAAUAUCAAUUCAACCGUACUCCAAAGAACACUCAUACUCCAAUAUCAGCAACCACCACGAAAGUUACCACUCUAAAUUCCAGCUCAAUAAUUUAUUCUUUGACAAUUUUACUUCUAAAAAAAAUGAAUUUUUUUUUAUAAUUAUACGCCAUCAGCAACUACCAUUACGACUCCAAAUUCCAGCUCAAUAUCGAUCAACACGUGGCUAAAGAAUUUGUUUCCUUUUUUUUCCUGCACGUGUUACCUUUUUAUCUUUUAUAAUUAUAAGUAUUGCGUUGCUAAUAAUUUGCAAGAAAUAAUAUUCUUUCUCUAAAAAGGGCUUGAGAAAACCCUAAGCAUAGUAUAUAGUCUCUUAUAGGAAUCUCUUUAUUAAAUCAUCAAAAUAUCAAAGUCUGUUUCCAAAGACUAUGACUACAGUUUAUAUAUAGAAACAACCAAAUAUAAAAAUUAUUUUUUAAAAAUAGAAAAAACAGAAGAGCUUGAUAAUAUUUAAUUAAAAAAUAAAAUAGAAAAAUUAUUCCUUUUUAAGUAGGAAAAAAAAAUAUAAAGAUUUAAUAAUACUGAAUAAGAAAAAUUAAAAUAUUCUUUCUCUGAAAAGGGCUUAAGAAAACCCUAAGCAUUGUAGAUAAUCUCUUAUAUGAAUCUCAUCAAAAUAUCAUAGUAUAUUUCCAAAUACUAUUACGUACUACAUUUAUAUAUAUAUAUAUAUAUAUAUAUAUAGAGAGAGAGAGAAAGAGAGAGAGAGAUAGAGAGAGAAACAACUAAGUAGGUAAAGCUUAUGUUUCUUUGUUCUUGUUCCUUUAUAUAUAUACAUUCUCAAUUUCAUAAAAAAAAUUAAUUAGUCCUUGAAAUCUUAAAAAAUAGUAUUUAAUCCUUAUGUUAUUAUAUUCAUCUCUAAUUUAAUUUUUUUCAUCCAUUCAUCUUUUUAUUUAUUUAAUAGCUUAAGUUUUUAGUUAAAAGAUAAAUAGUUUUACUAUUAAAAGCAUUUUUUCGAAAUAAAAAUAAUAUUAAAUUAGGCAUCCUCAACAUUGUUCAAAUUAUUAAUUAAUUAUAAUUAACUUGAGGUUUAGAAGAAACAAAAGGGAAGGACAAAAUUAUCUUCCCCACAACCAUAGACCUAACCCCUUUCCAGACCAGUCCCCUGGUAAAUGGAAUAAUGGUCCCAUAAACAGCUUUUUUUCUUUCCAGCCCGCCAAGCAGACUAAGGCCUGUUUGUUUCUGUGUUUUAAAAGUGUUUUUGAUAAAAUUUAAAAUUUUUUUGUUUUUUUUAUUAACUUCAAAUUAAUAUGUUUUUAGUGUUUUUAAAUCAUUUUGAUGUGCUGAUGUCAAAAAUAAUUUUUAAAAAAUAAAAAAACAUCAUUAGCAUGUAUUUUGACACGAAAAACUAUUUGAAAAGCAACCGCAACCACACUACCAAACACACUCUAAGCAGUUCGGUCUUCCUCGCUGGACCACCUUAGCAUGAGAAUCACACUAGUUGGAAGUAUCUUUAAACCUCAUAAAAAUGAAUAACUGAUAAUAAUAUAAUUGGGAUUUAAAAAAAAUUCAUAAAAAAAUUUCUUAAAAAAAUCCAAAAAAUUAAACCGGACAAAAAUAAACAACCAAUAAUAAUAUAGUUAAAAUGAUAAAAAAGUGUUUAAAAAGCAAUUUGAAACCAAUUAAUCUUAAAAAAAAAAAACCAAAAAGAAACAUGCGAUGAAAACCAAUUCAUGAAAAAGUAAUUGGAUAUUAAUUUAGACUAAAAGGAUGAAAUAAUAAAAACAAAAGGAGAGUUUGAGGGUAUUCAUUGUUCAAAGGAACGCAAAAAUGCAUUCCAAGUAUGAAGUGUUUUAUUGUUAUAAAGUUUUUCAAACUUACAAUAUGGAGAGAGAAAUAAAUAAAAAGAAAAAAUAGCAAAAGGAAACAGCCCCCAUCUUUCUUGUUCCCUUUCCCACGGCCUACUCAAUGAAAAAGCAAACACCCCAUUGGAUUUCCCACGGCCGCCCACGAAAUCCCUUUAUCCUCUGCUGUUAAUUUUUUAAUGACGCAUAUCAGGUGUUUGAUAAAAUUCCUUAGCUGGGAAAGGAAAAAAAACCAUGUUAAGAAUGCUUUAGUCCUUUUCGAGUGGAAAGUGGUGUGAAAGUGAGAAGUACUGUGAGAGCUUUAUACCACUUUCUAUCUUAGACGUAAUGGCUUUGGCAAAAAGAAACCAAUAAAAGUUAGUGUUCGCACUGCUUUAGUCCAAGAGUCUUUCAUGGUUGCAUUGAUUGACUGGAAAAAAUCUCAAAGUUUUUAGAAAGAAACAGCCUUCAUUGCUUUUCGAAACCAAUCUCAGUAAUGUUAACGCGUGGACCCAGUUAUUGUGGAAACUUUGCAAAGGACCUCGAGGAAGAAAAAUGAUUGCAUUGCUAAUAAUUUGCAAGAGAGAAUUCUUUCACUGAAUAGAAAAAAGUAUUAUUUUUAAAAUAACAACAAGUAAAUUUAAAAAUUAGUAUUUUUUAAAUAAAAAACUAAAAAUUCCUGAUAAUAUUGAAUAAAAAAUAAAAUAUAAAAAUUAUUCUUUUUAAGUAUAAAAAAAUAUAAAAGUUUAAUAAUACGGAAUAGAAAUAAAUAAAAAUUCUAAACUAAAUAAAAAUAUUUUCUAUCCCAAAAAUUCUUAUAUCAAAAUCUCAUUUAUCAUAUUUUAUAUCUAUAAAAAACUAAUUUGUCAUGUGGAAUAAGUCUAUAUGCUAAAAUCAGAAAAAAAAUGUUACAAAAACAAAUUCCACAAAAGGCUGUGAUUAAAAAGAUGAUAGAUAUUUUUUAGUAAAUUAAUUUCAAUUCAAAAUAACAAAAUAAGGUUUAUUGAGGCUUACCGUUAAACCUUGCUUUGGGAUGAAUUGAUCACGAGAAUAAGAAAUCAUGUGCAAAUUAUACAAGAUUUAUUAUUAAUCAUCAAGAUUUAUUAUUUAUUAUCAAUAUUGAAUAAUGAUUUAUUUUAUAAUAUAAAUUAUGUUUAAAAUAAAAUUGAUAAAAUUAAAAUACAUGAAACGAGGUUGUAUAUUUUGAAACUAAAUUAAAAUCAUUUUCUUUUUCUAUUAUAUCCUUCAAAAUUAUUUAUUUUAUAAAAAACAAAACUUGUUAGUUUGCAAGUACACAUGUCAUGAGUCUCCACUGCAUCACUUUUGCAAAAUCAUAUGGCCCACUGUAUAUUUUGAAACUUGUUGAAGCAAAAUCUGUUUUAUUGAUCAUCAUCAAUAUUGAAGAAUGAUUUAUUUUCUAGUAUAAACUAUGUUUGAAAUAAAAUUGAUAAAAGACAUGACAUAUACAAUUAAUGAUGGGAUGGUAUCUAAAAAUGAUUAAAUUGGCAUUUUUCAAUUACCUUUAAACAUGCAUAUCAUGAUUUUAAUUGGUGGACAAUACUGUUAAAUAAUAUAUUUAUUUUGUUUUAUUUAUUAAGAUUAAAAUAAUAUUUUUAGCUUAAUCUAUAUAUAAACUCUUUAUAUUUAGAUUAAGCAAAAAUAAUAAUAUAUAUCAGAAUUCUAGUCUCAUUCCUUUUCGUAUUUAUUUUUAUGUUAAUUAAAUUGUUUUAACAAUACAUCAUGUAAAUUAUAUAAAAAUAUAUUUAUUUUUCUGAUAUAUAAAUACCUCUCUGUCCCAUUGCUGCCAUUUCAUAGCUAACUCUUUGUUAUAUUUAACUUCCUCUUCUUUGCUUCUUGCUCAUAACGAUAACUUGAAAGCCUUACGUUCAGAUAGAUAAUCAUUGACUAGCUCAUCCUAUAUCAUUCUAUUCAAUUUAUAUAUGCAGAAAGAAAAACGCAAGCAAUCCAAAGAUGAAGAAAACGCUUCAUCCUCGCGAAAGAGAAGAAAAGCUGACCUCAGUAAGCCUAUAUAAAGAAUACAAUUAACCUCAUUUCAACAUCAUAGUUAACCUCAUUUCAAUAUCAUAGCUUUGGAAUUUCAUAGCUAACUCUUUGUUAUAUUGCUCCAUUGGUAAUUGAUUGUGCCUUGAUUUCUGCAGCUGCCAUGACAGAGCCAGAGUCUUCUCGAUCUAUACCAGAAGGGGCCUAUGAUGUCUUCUUGAGUUUUAGAGGAGAAGAUACUCGCAAGACGUUUACUGAUCAUCUAUAUGCUGCCUUAGAUCAAGCAGGAAUCCACACUUUUCGAGAUGAUGAUGAACUUCCUAGAGGAGAAGAAAUCUCCGAGCAUCUUCUCAAGGCAAUUCGAGAAUCAAAGAUAUCCAUAGUUGUCUUCUCAAAAGGAUAUGCUUCUUCUAGAUGGUGUCUCAAUGAACUUGUAGAGAUUCUUAAGUGCAAAAGGAAGAAAACCGGUCAGAUUGUUCUUCCUAUAUUCUAUGACAUUGAUCCUUCAGAUGUGAGAAAACAGACUGGCAGUUUUGCAGAGGCAUUUGAUAAGCAUGAAGAGCGUUUUGAAGAGAAGUUGGUGAAGGAGUGGAGAAAAGCUCUUGAGGAUGCCGGAAACCUAUCUGGAUGGAGUCUCAAUGAUAUGGCAAAUGGGUAUGCCUUUUUUCCAAAUUUAUGGAGUCAAUAUACUUUACAUUUUUUAAUGUGAAACAAUAAAAUACUUAAUUGACUCGCUAUCAAUGACUUGCUUUUGUCUAUGAGCAGGCAUGAAGCAAAAUUUAUCAAAGAGAUUAUCAAGGAUGUGUUGAAUAAAUUAGAUUCCAAGUACUUCUAUGUUCCUGAGCACCUAGUAGGUAUGGAUCGGCUUUCUCGCAAUAUUUUUGACUUUGUAAGUACUGCAACAGAUGAUGUACGCAUNNNNNNNNNNNNNNNNNNNNNNNNNNNNNNNNNNNNNNNNNNNNNNNNNNNNNNNNNNNNNNNNNNNNNNNNNNNNNNNNNNNNNNNNNNNNNNNNNNNNNNNNNNNNNNNNNNNNNNNNNNNNNNNNNNNNNNNNNNNNNNNNNNNNNNNNNNNNNNNNNNNNNNNNNNNNNNNNNNNNNNNNNNNNNNNNNNNNNNNGAUGAUAGAGGAAAAGUUCUGAUCAAAGAACGACUUCGUCGCAAAAGAGUUCUUGUUGUUGCUGAUGAUGUGGCUUAUCUGGACCAGCUAAAUGCUUUGAUGGGAGAGCGAAGUUGGUUUGGUCCCGGAAGUAGAGUAAUUAUUACAACAAGAGAUUCAAAUCUUCUUCGUGAAGCAGAUCAAACAUAUCGGAUCAAAGAGCGACUUUGUCGCAAAAGAAUCUUGUUGUUGCUGAUGAUGUGGCUCAUCAGGAGCAGCUAAAUGCAUUGAUGGGAGAUCGAAGAUGGUUUGGUCCCGGAAGUAGAGUAAUUAUUACAACAAGAGACUCAGAUCUUCUUCGUGACGCAGAUAAAACAUGUCAGAUCGAAGAAUUGAAACUAGAUGAGUCCCUUCAGCUUUUCAGCAGGCAUGCCUUUAAGGACACCAAGCCAGCAGAAGAUUACAUUGAGCUUUCGAAGAAAGCCGUUGGUUACUGUGGAGGACUUCCUUUAGCUCUCAAGGUUAUAGGAGCUCUUCUGU
rnacentral:lncRNA from 1 species